rnacentral:lncRNA from 1 species
CUUUUUUUUUAUUUUAGUGUAAUUUUUUAGAUACAUUACACUCUCUCUCCUAUAAUACACAUUUACCAAUUUUAAUGCCUAUUUUUUCUCCAUUAAAACACUCAACCUCUUAAAUUAGUUUUUGAAUUUUAAAUUUUAUCCAUUUAAACACUCAACCUUUUAAUCAGCUUUUUGAUUUUGAAUUAUUAAACUUAAUUAAUUUCAAAUAAAAGACCAAAUUUUCAAAUUUUGAAUUUCAAAAUACAAAAAAUCAGGAAGCAGGAUAACUUCCAUAUCUUUCUACCGUUUUGUUCUUACUUCCAUAUCUUUUGCUUACACACCAAAAACAUAAGAACCAGUGCCUCUUGCCUUAGAAGAAGUUAAGGUGAUAAAAACAAGUAGACAAUCUUCAUCUCAUCCCAAUACAUUCUCCCAGUUACCACUUCCCCUUCCUCUUCCUCUAGCAUCAACUUUGCAUAAGGCCAAACAGGACUCAAAGAGUUAAAGUUUGUUAGGCCUACAUUGUCUCGGGUUAGUAUUUUGGUACUUAAAACUGUUGUUGAAAUUAGUAAAAAUUUUAAGGAAUCUAGUGUGCUUGCCGAUACAUUUGAAUAAGUGUGUAUAGUGUUUUAGAUGGUGAAUUGAUACAUGAAUUUGUUGUGUAUAAUAAUAUUUUAUAUGUAUCAUGAAAUUUUAAAAAUUGUUAUAAUGUAUCAUUCAAUAAGUUUAGUAAAUGCGUCAUCAACUGUGUUUGAUGAUACAUAUAGAAUCAGUGUGUACAGUGUUCAGUCAAUUCACUGAUACAUGUAGUAGAUAUGUAUCACAUGUUUUGCAUAUAAUAUGAAUUUCUGAAAACUGAUAUCAUGUAUCAGUAAGGUAUUAGUUGUUUAGUUGAUGUACUGAUACAUGUUUUGAAAAUUGUUAUAAUGUAUCAUUCACUAAAUUUAAUAAAUGCGUCAUCAACUGUACUUGAUGAUACAUAUAGAAUCAGUGUGUAUAUUGUUUAGUCAAUGUUUCUGAUACAUGUAUUAGAUACGAAAUUGAAUCUCCAACAACGAUUCCGUCGAUUUUGUAACUUUCAUUCUGCAAUUCGUUCACCCAAAUUCCGGAAUGUCUCAUCAAAAUCGAAGUAUUUAUCUUGAAAAAUCCACUGUAACAACAAUAAAAUUACUGUAGUUCGAAAUUUAACAGAUUGUUCAAAAAAAUUAUUUUCAAAAUAGAUGAUAUAAUCUUUGUUUUUCAAAAUUUGAAAUUAAUAUCCAAUUAAGUGCUGAUUUUAUGUUGAUUAAUGAUAUGUUACCGUAAAUUUAGCUAUUUUAUUAACAACAUUAACUGUACCGUUUUUUUCCCUUUUUUUUCUGAACAGUUUAAAAUUACCAUGUAUCAUUUACCAUGUAUCACUAGAGUCUAAAGUAUCACGGCUCAACAAAUUUAAGGGAUUUUUUGUAAAUACUAAAUUUGUCGGGACAGAAUGAAAUUAUUGAAUUACACUAUGGGAUUCCUUAAAUUUUUACAUAAUAAUAGCUUAGUGAUGUAGUUUUUUCUAUUUUAUUUCAUGUAGAAAAAUGAUAUACUGCCUUUUUUGCAUUUUACUUGAUCCAUUAAUAUAUAUUUAUUUUAGUGGAUUGAUUCAGUAAACUGCUUCAUUAUUCAUCUUUUGAUCAUCUAAAUAAAGUAUCCAACGUAGUUAUUUAAUGAUAAAAAUAAUAUUGAAAGAGUAAUAAAUUUAUUUUAAUUUGUUAAAGUAGACAAACAAAAAAUAGUGUAAGGAUUUAAUAAAAUGAAAGAAUGUUUUUCCUGUGAAAUGUACCAACAACUUGUGUUUGCUUAGUUAUUUAAUUAAGAUUCUUUUUUUUUUGGUUUAAGUAAUUAAGAUUCUAUAUUCCAACAGAAGUCGUCGUCAUCAUCAUCAUAUAUAUAUAUAUUAUCUUAAAAGUGAUUUUUGCAUCACAGUCUUUUUUAUUAAAUAAUCUCCAAUUAUUUUCUUUCACUUAGAACCUACACUAAAUAAUGUUCAUCCCUUUUAACCAAACGAAAUUGAGAUUAUUUUUGCCUUUGUUUGUUGGAAGGGGGAACUUUCCAUUAUUAAAUCUUCCUAAUGCCUAAUAAACUUUUCACUUUUGGGAGUUGAUAUUCAUUGUUAAUCAUUUAGGAGAGAAACAUUACACAUUAUUGAAAUUACAAAACAAAAAAUAGAUAUUAUAAAAUAUUAAUUUGCAAUAUGAAUUCAAUUAUAUACGGAUCUAUUUUUUCUUUUUAAUUUUCGAUUCGAUAUCCGAUUAAAAAAGAAAUUGAAAUUAUUAUUAUUUAGGAUUUCAUUAAUCGAUACUCCUAAAUCCUAAAUCUAUCACUACUUCCACAACCAUGUUUUGACUCUGAUUAAUUUAUUUAUUCCCAUAAGUAUAUGUUAUAAAAUACACGGAGGUCAAAAUAUUAAUAACUUCAAUUUUAUUAUUUUUUUUGAUAAGUAAAAAAAGGGAAGAUCGUUGUAUAAAGUGCAUGAAAAAGAUGCUUUCCAAUUGAAAUUUUAAUAGCAUUAUUUUUUUCAAAAAAGUAGGUAUCAAAAGAUGCUAGAUAAGAGAUAAAUAUAUGCAAAAGGAUUGUUUGACGAUGGACACUCUCAUGUGCCUAAACAGAAAACAGUAAAGUCUAAAGUUUGCUACUGGGACAUGACAAAAUAAUGUAAAAAGGUUUUAUUUGAUUAUCUAUUCCAUCCUAACCAACAUAUUAUUUUGUCUAAUUAAUGUUUAUAUAUAGUUGGUUUAAUGGAUCUUUUCUUUUUCACAUGAUGUCCAAAUGCUCAUAUGAAAAUUCUUUUAUUCUAAAUUUGAGUUUUGUAAAAUUUCAUUUGAAAAGAAAUGAAAAUAUCUCAAAUAUACAUAGUAUAUUUUUACUAAUAACAGGUCUCUUUCGUUUGUUUAUUUUAUCUAAUUAAAUGCAUGCUUUAGGCUUGGACGAAUUAAAAAUCUUUGCAUCGUAAGUUAAUUUUUUUUUUCUCUUUGAAUUUCAUUAUAUUUUUUAUGCUUUCAUAUCAGAAAUUUAAGUUUGAUACUUCAAAGAUACAUCACAUCCACAUUACCACACCAACGAGAGAGUGAGUUUGACCAUAUGACCUCCAAAUUAAUGAAAUAUUUAUUCAUAUAUUUACAUUAGAGAUAGAAUAAUACUGCUUGUUUGUAUGCAGGCAUAUCUAUUGAAAUUUUUACACACAAAAUUAAACAAUUUUACAUACACAAUUUUUCUGCAAUAUAUAUAUAUAUAUAUAGCAUGCUAAUUGUUUUAGUUUCAACAGUCGAGUGGGCGUUUAUUUCAUUUUUUUUUGUUUUAAAUGGCCUACUUUAUUUAAUAAAUACCAUUAUAUAAUGUGUAAUCAAUGUAUAUAUACAUUAUACAGUAGUUAUGUUAUGAGUAAACAAAAAAUUAAAUAUUUAUACCAUUAUCAUUGCAAGCGACUGAAAUUUUCUUAACCGACUUGCUAUAAAUUUAAAGAUCACAUUUCUAUUAUCCUUAGGCGUUAGACAAGUAAUAGGAAAAAUAUUUGAUGUAGUGAUUAGAUUGUAUAUUAUUAGUUAAAGGUUUCAGAUUUGAGCCUGAGUAUGUAUCCUAAAAAUGCAAUAUAUAAUUCUAAUUUAAUUAGAAUUUAACUGUGAACUUUAAAAAUGGAGUAAAAAAACAAAACCAAAAAUAUGAAAUAUUCAUAAUUUUUAAGAGGAGUAUUUAAUUAUUCUAAGUACACUGAUGAAAUAGAAUGGAAAUAAUCACGUAAUUCAUAGGAAUGGUCUUUAAAAUGAAUGAAUUUAAACUUUUUGAACUUGUUUUAUGAAUGAUAUUUGAUUUUAAAGAUUGGUCCAUAAAAUAUAGGAACCAAACAUUUAAGACCAUUCAUUAAAAAGAUUUAGGCUAAUUUUCUAUAGGCCAAGCACAUAUUACUCUAAUUCAAUCUUAUUUCAUUUUGACAUAUGAAUUCCAUUUUUAUAUAUCAUUUAAACACAAAUAAAGUCAUUUACAUGAAAUAUGAAAUUGACUUAAAGAAUUAAAAUAUAAUAAAAUUGAAUUGAAAUGCCAAAUUAAAAUUUAAAGACAAAGAGAUUGAAUUUAUAUUUAGCUUUUUCCAUAAACAAUUAUUGAAACUUCAACUAGCCGUUGUAGCAAAUGAAUUACAAUUCAAAAAUACAAUUUUCAAGCAUAUGUGAAUUGGCUUAUUUUAAAUAUGCUUAAGCUUAAAUUACUUCUAAACAACUCUAUAAUAUUAAAUAAGUAAAAAAAAACUUAUAAACACACAAUUAUAAGCUAAAAUAACAAAAUAUAAGUCAAAAUCUAUAAAGUAGAAAACCAAUCCAAACAGGGUAUCAAUUACAUUCCUUUCAUUUUUCUUUCUUACAAUAAUCAUUUUGAGAACCGUGUUGUUUCUAAAGGUGCACUCGUUUUCAAAUUUUUUAAAAAAAUAUUCAUAUGCAUCCGAUAUCCAUUUUGUUUCACGAUUAAAUCAAAUUUAUAUAGAAAAAAUCUAUUUUUAAAAUUAAAUCAAAUUACAUUUAAGAUUUAAACUAAAAAAAUUUAAUUAAAAAAGAAAAUAUACUUAUCAUCUCUCUAUAUGAUAUCUAUGUUAGCUAAUCUAUAAUAUUAAUAAAAGUUCACCAUAAAAGUAUUAUAAAUCAUGUUAUGUUUAUAUGCUCGAAGGAAAAUAUGAAAUGAUUUUCAGUAGAUCUCUUUAUAUUAUUGUCACUUUUCUCGGUGUUGUUUUUAUUUAUUUCAUAAAACAACAAAAACAGAGCCAUUUUUAUUUUAUUAGAACUUUUAAAUUCAAUAAAGCUUUUACUAGUAAUAAAAGGAAAAAAAUAACACCAACGAACUAGUAUUUCUUCAUCAAUAAUUAAAAGUUUCGAGAUCGAAUCUUUUGAAUAUAAAGUUAUCUUUGUUAAUAAAUAUUUUACCCCAAUAUAGAACUUUUGAGAUUCACCUAAUAUAAAAAUUUUUGAUACAAAUUUAAAUUUAAUCAGACUCUGAAAAUCAAACACCGAAUUAAAAACCAAAUCCAAAAAAGAACAUAAAUGAUAAAACUAUAAAGUACUUGGGCUUUAUAUUAUAUUUCCAAUUUAUUUGAAAGGAUAAAAUAAAAUAAUAAACCCUUGUAGUCUCAUUCAGACUUUAAAGAGUUUAGAAUAUAAACUAAAUAAAUAAAAAAGUUUCAAACAACUAUCUGGACCCAUCGUGCUACACCUGGCACUCCUUGGUUUACAGCAAAUACCAUGUAAUAUCCCGGCGGCGCCACCUUCCCGUCCGGCGGUGCUGUACAUCCGAUCCUAUAUUUACCGGCAUCAUCGGGAAUAGCGCUCGUUACUUUCAAUUUCACAAGCCUUUGCCCCUGUGAAAACGAAUGUGUUGAAAAUGGAGCACUCGCUAUAUUCACCUCAAUAAUGCCAACCACCGGCAGCUCCACCGUCACUGCCACCCCAAAAUCCUCACCGUAUUUGAGCUUUUCCGGCAAUUCUACCAGAACUGGUCGGAGGUUUGCUCUGUCUGCUGAUAAAUACUCCGGAGAAAAUGCUUCGAUCCUUAAUUCCGUCGGGAAUUCCACCCCGAACUUGUAAAAAAAAUGUGGGUUGCUUCCGGCGAGCAAGAUCCGACCGUCCGGAAGCAAAUUGGCUGUGGAGUGAUACAUUCUUGGAAUUGUACCGGGAUUCAAAGUCAUGAAUCGGAGUCCUAAAGGUUCAUCUGGUCUGUAUAAAACUGGGUUCAAACAAGGAUUUGACGCCAUUUCAAAGCCUUGUGUUCCUGCUUGAGCUCCAUUAAUGAUAAGAAUUUCUCCGGUUGGUAACAUCACCAUAUCACCCAUGAUUCUCGCAAAGGGCAUAUCUUCCAUUUCCCAAACUGGGUUUUCUCCGGUGGCUUCAAUUCUACCGCAACUCCCAUUUGCAGGAGUAUCUGUGCUCCUCUGUAAAUAAGCCCCAAAUUGAGCUCCACCACAAAUAACAAUGGUGGCAGAGGAAUAAUCCUGUGUUAGGGCCAACAUAGCUGAUGAUCCUGCUGAUGGGUAGUUUCUUGGACCACCGUCGAGUAUUGGGUAAUCUUUAACUAUAUUAUUUGCCGUAAAAUCAUACAUGACGGCUUUAUUGUUGGCGAAAAUGAAGAGAUGUCCAUUUGGUAGCAAAUGAACAUAAGGAUAAAGAUUAUCAUGUUGUCUAUCUUCAGCUUGAGUUAAGAAAGGGAAUUCAACCGCUCCGGUUUCUCUCGGUGGAAAAAACUCAACACUACUAGCAGCACGGCCGCCGACAAUUAUGAUUUCUCCGGUGGGUAAUAUCUGAUUCGUGGAAUACCAUCUCCCUUGAGAAAGCUGAACAUUUUGAAGUUCUUCCCAAUCACAAACCGAGCUAGAAGAUUCACAAGGAGUGAAUUUUCUGAAUUUGCGGAACCCAUCAAGAUCACCUCCGGUAUGGAGAAGAGUACCGUCCGGGAGAAAUUGGCCGGAAGAACACCAAGUGUCUGUGAGGAUCCUAAGAGGCCGAACUGAAUUCGUUUCCAAAUCAAGAAGAAGAGAGUGAGCAUAACAGUCUUUUUUCAAAAUGGGGUCAUUGGGGUCGUUACGGCAAUGGUGGGGAGGGAGUCUUCUUCGGGAAGGACCAAUAUCGGUGCGGUCAAGGAGUACAACAGUGUUGUAAUGGGUGACGGCGGUGUGCAUCGAAGCAAUUCCGGCGUCAGGGACCAGGAGUUCCCACGUGCCGGGGAGGUCAGCAAGUGAGGGAAUGGUGAAGAAUUGGAUAAGGAAGAUGAAGAUGAAGAUGAAGUUAGAAGUCGUCAUUAGACUGAGUGAGUUGGAGUUGAAAGUGUUCGUGUCAAAUUCGAUGUCUAAAUAACAGAGUGUGAGGAUUUUAUGAGUUGCUAAACAACAGAGCAUAUGUCAUAAAGUAUAUAUUACUUUAUUUAGCUAGCGUUUGAUAAGAGAAAAAUUUAAUUUAAAAAUAUAAUACAUAAUAUGAUAAUUUAAAUAUAAGAUAAAAUAUAAUACAUAACAUAAUAAUUAAUUGAUCACAAUAAUAAUUUAGUAAUCCGAUAGGUCAUUUUCAGAUCUAGCACUAUUCGAAAAAUAUUAUGAUAUGAUUCUGAAAAUUGUUAUGACUGUGAUUGUGAUUAUUGAUCUCUCUUUUCAAGUAUUUGUUGUUGUUUACUUUGCAUGUAAAUCACAAACAUUCGGAUCACUAAUAGUUUCUCAAUACACCAAUUUAAGAUAUCGUAGAGGCUCCAACUCCAACUAUAGAAGUGGUAGUAGAUGAAAAUCCAGAUUCAACAACUAUUAGCUAGACAUAAAAAUAUUAAGGACAAAAAUGCUCAUUUUUAUCUCUGUAAGGCAUUAUAGAACAUUUAUGGGACUAACAUAGUGAUUUUGAAAAGUGAGUGUUUAUAUGAUUGUAUGUCAUUUUUAUUUGAAUUUGCCCCCCCCCCCUUUCCCCCGCCCAAUUUAUGUAUUAAUAUUUUUUGUAAUUUAUAUUAUUUAAAAAUUUAAGAUAAAAUAUAAUUUUAUAUCACAUUAGAAAUUAUAUAAGGUAAUUAUUUGGAAAAAAAUAAAAAAUUUAUAUUAUGAAAUAAGAAAAUUAGAAUGAAAUAGAAAUAAUAAAAUAAUAUUAAAGAGAGAAACAAAAAUUCUUUUUAAAAAGUAAAAUAGAGAAUUGAGUUGGAGUUGAUUAUGUGAAAAAUAAAAAAAAAUAUAUUUAAAGAAUAAAAUAGAAGAUUGAAUUGGAGAUACCCUUAGAGAUUAAUUACUACCCAUGUUGGAGAAGAAAAUUAUAUGGGAAAUACUUUUUUAAUGUAUUCAUACCUAAUACCUUAUUAAUAUUUACAGGUAAAAUACAUAAGCAGAUUUCUAAACUUAUUUAGUUUUUUUCUCUAGGUAUCUCAACUAUACUAUUUUUCUAUUGAAUCAUUGAACUAUUCAUAAUUUAUUCCUUUUAAACACUGUUGACUGAUGUAGAAAUAGAUUUUGUAAAAGGUAUUAAUGGAGGAUACAUAUGUUGUUUCAGAAUUCAUUAGUCUAAUUGAUACUGUGCGAGAAUAUUUUGUUUUACUUCAAGUCAUUUGAACACAUUAGAAAAUAAAUGAGACUAACACACAAUUUGUCUUCAUUCCUUCAAUCAAAAUCAUUAUAAUACAAAACACAAUUAAAGACAUUUACAAUAGAAAAGUCGAUCAAAAUCAGUGUUUAAAGGAACAAACUAUGAGUGGUUAAAGAUUCAAUAGCAAAAUGACAUAGUUAAGGUACCGGAAGGGAAAAACCCAACAAGUUAAAAAUUUGUUUAUGAGUUCGGUCAUAUUUAAAUAAAAAUAUAUGAGGAGCAUUAUAUGGUAACUUGAUUUCUAAAUGAGUUAUACAAGUUUGUUUAGGAUUCUUACUUGAUUCAUCAAAUAAAUUUUAGAAAAUAUUCUUUCGAGUUUUAUUUCUCGCUAUUUUUCAGGUCCCUUCUCCAGCAAGAACAUUGAAGCAAUUGACAUACACCAUUGAAGGACAAUUAUCAAUGGUAACUUUUUCUUCAUUAAAAAUUUAUUCAUAACUUAUUCGAAUCAUAAGCUGAUAUUUAAUAGAAAUAGAUCAAACAGCUAGAGCUAAAUAAUAUUUGUUAGUUCGUACAUUCAAUUUUGUCGGACCUGUUAAUUAGAUCACAGAUAAAAUAAUAUAAGAUAAAAGCCCAACAAUAGCUAAAUCAAGAAAUUGAGAUAGGUUUUGGUCUCAAAUGAAUCAAAUUUAAUACUAUUUCAAAAACUAGGAAAUAUACUCGACAUCAAGUCCCUCAUCCCACCAUUGAUUGUGACUCAAUAAUUAUCUUUACUUUUAAUGUCUAUAGAAAAGGAGGCACUUUCUUAAGAGCUAAUAUAAUAUAUGUGUAAUAUAAUUGAUAUUCUAUCAACAUUCUUUGGCAUCUAAUGACCAUGUAUUGAGGUCACAUAGGUGUGGCAAAUAAAGCUGAAAAAGUUCUAUGAUUUUUACUUUAAUGUUCAAUAUGUCACAGAUAGGGUUGUGGGGAGAAAGGGGAUUUUUUUCUUUAUGCAAUUGUAAGAACACUAUAUAAGAGAGCAUGGAAUGUAGCAUGUUGUUAUGCAAUGCAAUGUUUGGCCAAAAAGAAAGGAUAUCAAGUAAAAGCAAUGGACUCUAUUUAAUGGAGUAAAUAUGUCAAUGUACCAUAUCAACAUUAGUUGUAGUGAUAUUCAUUCACCCUUAAUUAAAAAUUUCAAAUUUGAACCCUGACGAUGGAAUAAAUUUUUUUGGAUUAUCAUAUCUAAAUAUAGACCAUGCAAUAUGUGAUUCAAAUUUAAUUGGAUCUCUAUGCAGACUCCAAACAUUAAAGAGGAAAAAGAAAGAAGAUGUGAAUUUAUCUUAAUGCUUUUAUUGUGUAAUGACUUCCAUGUGAAGAAAAUGAUACCUUUCCUUUUUAACCAUUUUUAACUUUAGCUUUCAUGACUAUUAAUUGCUAAAUUUGUACUUCCUUUUGAUAUUUGAUAUUUCUAUUUAUUAUAAAUAUCUCAUGUCCCAUUUGAAGCCAGUGUUCAUCAUGGCAAUUAGCUAGAGCUAUCACUUAGCAUAUUCUUGGAGGUAGAGUAGGACCACAUUUAAUUUGAGUUUAUACAGAUCAACUAUUAAUUUUAUCCAAAUCAAUGUUUGUUAACUUGGAUUUUACAGAAAAUGUGUUUCAUCUUUAAAUAGAACAUAGUAAAUGAUUCGUCAAUCAUGUUUUGGUUGCAGUUCAACUCGACAAGGAAUAAUAUCAUUAUAUCUUAAUCAGUUGACAGUUCCAUUCAACGAUAAUUAUUGAGUAACAUCAACCUGCUACCUAUGACAAGGCUCACGAGUAGUAGACUGAGUCAGAUAUAUGAUCGAACACGACACUUUGUUUAGUGAACUUAGUUAUGAAUUAAAGUCAUGCCUUUAUCAUCAAUUAUCGUAUGAAAUUUAAAUAAAAAUAAAUGGGAUUUAUCACCAAGCACCAGUGGUCUAGUGGUAGAAUAGUACCCUGCCACGGUACAGACCCGGGUUCGAUUCCCGGCUGGUGCAAUUUUUACUUUUUACAGAAUGUUUUUUGAUUGCUUUCCUAGUUUUGAUCAUUAUAAUAUAUGAUAUUUAUUUAGCUUCGAUAAUCUUAAGUGAAAUAAACUUUUAAUUGUUUACUUACCAUAUAUUAUGUUAAAUUCGUAUUUUUAUUUUAUAUUUGAAGGUAAUAUUUUUUUAAAAAGUAUCAUAAAUCUAAAUAUAAAAUGCUCUAAAUGUAACAUUAGGUGUACAUAUGAUAUUGAAAACUUUCGUUCAAUAGCGUGAUGUUUUACAAUUCAGUAUACAGAUAAUCAUGAUUCGUCCAACGUCAACUUAUAUAUACUACUCAUAUAAUAAGAAUUAGGACUUCGACUUUUUCAUAAAAAGAAGGUGUCAAUUAUAUCAAACUAAUAGGACUUCGACUUUUUCAUAAAAAGAAGGUGUCAAUUAUAUCAAACUAACACUUUUAAAUGUUGAUGAAGUAUCAAGUUUGCUCACUUUUAUAUUUGAAACAUGUUUAAACUGUAAAUUUAGCCUACCAUUGACUUGAGUGUUUGGUUUGAUUCAAAUUAUUUAUUAUUAAUUGCAUAUAUAUAGGUUGCUGAUUCCGAAUUGAUUCUAUCAUGUCAAUGAAUGCCUAGAUCUAGAUGGUUAUUCUUAAGUGAUUACUAUAUUGUACUAGUUAGAAAAUUUGUGUGCCUAACUAAUUACAUGAUGCCUAGUUCCUAUUAUUUGAUAGAUAAUAGGAAAAAAUGUGAUUUCAAUGUCUACUUGAUUAAUGACGGAUAUUUGUGCCUCACUGCCUCAUCGAACUAGGUGAUCUGAUCUUUGGAUCAAUCACAACCUUCUAAACUCGGUGGAUAAUGAGUCCACCUCUCUACCUUUAAAUACCAGGCUUCACUUUGCGUGGUGUGAGGCUUGCCUGAACCUGCGACCUAAGGCACAAGUCCUCCACCUUUUGCCACUCGAGCUAGGCCUUGGGUAUAUUACAUUUAUAACUGACCUAUUAGGUUUUUUAAGAUGGUAUGGACAAUUAUCUGCUCUUUAAUUAGUGUAUUGGAAAUUUGUUUCUCUGUAAACAUGAAUGGUUCCACUAGAUUGUUAUAGGGUGCUUAAUUCUCAAAAAACUACCUUGUCCUUGUUGAUUGUUUUUUUCUUUUACCUAAUGAUCUUUGUCUAGUGAUGGAUCCCAUAAUAUGUUUGCGUUUUGGAGAACUAGGUUUCGAGGUCAAAUCCUAUAUAUAUGUACUAAGUAUAGAUAAAAAUUGCAAUGCACAGAAGAUCAAAAUGAAAUGUCUUAGCCUUUUAUAUUUUUGGUGUAAAAGAAUAUGAUGGGGAGGUAGUAACUGUAGUUGAUUUUAAGAGUUCUCUGUAUAUAUUUGGUUGUUUGGCUGAAUCUAAAGUCCCGGUUUGUAUGUCCAUGCUACAUGUACUAGUAAAUAUUUAGAUUGCUUCAUAUGAUACAAGUCAUCAGAAGUAGUGGUUUCAUUCAUUUUAAUUGACGUAAAACUGUUAGUUAAAAAAUGAAUAAAAAAGGGUUAGCAGCUUUUGCUUGGCAAUGUUAAAAAUAAUAUUUCAUCCGUUUAAAAAAGAAUGACCAAGUUUGAUUUGGAACGAAAUUUAAGAAAAGAACAAAAACUUUUUGAUCUUGUGGUUCUAAAUUAAAGUUGUCAAAUGUAUCAAAGUGCCCUUUAAUCUUAUGACCUUAAAUAUGUCACGUGGAAAGUUAAAGUUUUAAAGUUUUGCCAAAAAAAAUAAGAGUCAUUCUUUUCGAAACAUACUAAAAGGAAAUGAGGUCAUUCUUUUUUAAACGAAUGGAGUAUAACUCAAGUCUAUUGCUUUCUAAAACAAAUGCCACUUGAAGUUUUAGAUUCCUGUGACACAUAAUUUUCAGUAUCAAACGAGAGACUCAUCUAAUUUUCCAGCACCAAAGUAAAUGUUCAGCCAAAAUAAAUCCAAUGAAUUUAACAUAUCAAAUAAAUAAUUGAUAAAUACGAUUGGGUCUAAACACAUUUUGUUCUUUAUAAAUUAUACUCAAUAAGUAAUGCAUGAUCGAAUAAUUGGAGUUUAGCUACUUAAAAUUUUAGAAUUCAGUUUCCCAUUGAUAAGUGUCCAUUUUCCAAUAGAAUAAAAAUUCUUUUUCAAAAUGUUACCACUGUAAGUCAAAUUUCAUAACUGUCAUAAUUCUAGGAGAUAUAUAGUUUAAAUAACUUUGAUUAAGUCAAUAUAUGUAAUGUCAAUAUUCUAUAGGUUCGUGAUGUGGAGCUAGGUGGUGUUUAUGGUUCGGACGAAGUCAAUUAUCUUAUAUUUAUACUAAAAAAUUAUAUAUAUAAAAAUAAUAAAUUUUCAAACUUUUAAUCCUGGCUUUGACUCUACUUAAAGAAAUUAAGAUCUCUUCACCACUUAUAAAAUGAAUAAAAUAUUAAUCUUUUCACGUCUCUUAACUGUACACUUAUAAAAUAAAUAAAAUAUUAAUCUUUUCUUAACUGUAAAAAUGAAGAUUUUCGUAAAAAGAUCAUUAAACUAAAAUAAAGUGACAAGUGGCCUUUCAUAACAAACAAACACUUAAAAAUUAUUCAUGAAACACAAAGGGAACUUUCCUUCCACUUUAUGGCUAUAAAUAAUACAAAGGCUUUGUUUAAUAGCAAAUGCAUUGUCUCAAGACUUCAAAAAAGCAUCUUUAAGUCAUCAAUGGCUAAAAAGAUUCUUCUUUGUUAACCUGUAAAUUUUUAAUUCGCCCCGCUCCAUCCCUCAUAGCAACAAUUUUCAUUUUCAAUCAAUUCCGUAUAAUUUUUUUAAUAUCUUUUUUUUUUAGUUAUGUUUGAUACUAAAAAUAAAAUUCAUCCUUUCAUUAAGUUGUAUUAAUUUUAUAGGAUAGUGACUUAAAAUUUUAUUUUUUUAGGUCAACCGGGAAACAUACAAGAAAUGGUAUUAUUUUUUAUUGAACCAUUUUCAUUUAUCAUCUUGAAUAUUUUAUUAGCUUUAAUGAAAUUAUCUCAAACAAAUGAUGCUCUAUCACUCAAUAACAUGUAAAAUAUUAAAAAUUAAGUUUGAACUCACAUAAAAUCACAUAUACCCCCAAACCGCCCCACGUUAAUUUUAAAAAAUUCACUUCAACCCGUCUCAUUACCAUCCCUAAUUGUCACAAGAACGGACCAGGAAAAAAAAAAGAUGUUUAUAUAAAUUAAAAUCUCAAAGGGGCAUUCCGAGAAUUGAACUCGGGACCUCUCGCACCCUAAGCGAGAAUCAUACCACUAGACCAAAUGCCCUGUUUGGUGCCUUGCUUUUAGGCUUACAAAUCAAUUAACAUAUACAGUGUAACUGUAUAAAGUGAAGUUUAAAAAGGAUAGAGUGUAUGCAAAACUUUAUUCCUACCUCACAAGUUGUUUUCGAUAGAUGCUCAACUCAAGAAAAAAAAUGUUAAUCAAAAUACAGUUAAACAAUACAAAAACUAAUUUAAAAAAUUAUUUCAAAUGAAAUCCAACCGGACUCGUUAUAGAAGUAGUGACUAUAAAAGUUGAAUAUCAAUAUGUUAUAUUAUUGAGAUUAAUCGGGUAAAUUAGGCAGGUCAAGACCCAACCUGUUCUUUAGCUCAUUUGAGCCCAAAGUAAAUUUGGGUGGGUCAAGACCCAACCUGAUUUCUAUUCAACCCAUUAUAAUAUUUUCAAUUUCGACCCAACCCGCCCAUUUAACACCCAUGUGCACUCAUAUAAGUAAGUUAUGUUGAUCGAAUGGGACCAAAGUUUCUAAUUCUAUGCUGAAAAGUGAUUCUUGCAAAAAGCAAAAGAUGUGAAUAUUGAGAGCUAGGUCACAAAAAAUUGAUGAAUUCAUAGAUCUAGUAUCUCUCCUAUGAUCCAUUGUGAACUAUUUUAUCUUAUUUAUUAUUCUAUUCUAUUUCUGAAGAAAAAAAAUAACAAUCUGAAUAUUAACCUUUAAAAAUUGAUGUAUUAUAUAUUUAUAAAUUUUGCUAUUAAGUAUUUUCUAAAUAAUACAUAUAGAAUUUAAACAUAUUGUAGCUUAUAAAACAGUAUUCCAAUAAUCCAAUGGCCUGUUUUCGAUCUUAUAUCAAACAAACAAAAGGGCAUUAAGUGUGUUUGUUAUGUUCUUUACAAAACUAGUCAUAAAUGAAUUUUACUACUUUUUUAUGCAUGAUUUCAAAAAGAAUAAAAGGUAGAGACAGGAAUAAAGAGAAAUAGCAAAAAUCUAUAAUACACAUCUUUCCUAGGACACUAAGUUAAAGAAUUCGAAAAAGUGAUUUAAAGAAAAAGUCAAUUUUGUCAUCAUCAACUUUGGAAUUUUGUGAAAUUUUCAUUAAUAAUAUAAGCAAUUGAAAACUUUUAGCAGAAAAUGAGCAUAAUUUCAAAAUAAACAUUUUUUUAUUGAAAAGAGUCAAAGACCUAUUCUAAAAAGUAUCUCAAGAAAAGGCACCAACUCUAAACGCGAAUACUAUAUAGUUAUAUCGUUAUAAGUAUAUUUAAUAAUACUUUGAUUUCACUAUGAAUUUUGUAAGUUUUCAAAUUAAAGAGCAAUGUCAUUGGAAAACUCAACAAUGUAUGUCACAAGUCACAUUAUAUUAUUAUAUGCAAUAUGUUAGGCAUAGUGUGGAUUUCAUUUGAAAUAAUUUUUUGGAUUAGUUUUUGUAUUGUUUAACUGUACUUCGAUUAAUUUUUUUUUUUUAAUUUGAGCAUCUAUCGGAAAUAACUUGUGAGAUAGGGAUAAAGUUUUGCAUACACUCUAUCCUUUUCAAACUUCGCUCUAUACAAUUACACCGUAUAUGUUGUGUUAUUUAAUUUUUAAGUGUAAAAGCAAGGCACCAAACCGGGCAUUUGGUCUAGUGGUAUGAUUCUCGCUUAGGGUGCGAGAGGUCCCGAGUUCAAUUCUCGGAAUGCCCCGUACCAAAUUAAAUUUGUGCUAAAUUUAUUUUUUUCUUCCCAACUCUCGUAUCAUUCUACUUAGUUGUCACCACUCAAAAUAGGAAAAAUUAUGUCAUUUAUGCAUUAAUUUUGUAAAAUGACAUAUAUUAACGAACUUCUAUUUUUAGUAAAUAACUCAUGCAAAUAGGAAGUACAAUCUUUAGUACUUGUAUUAUUACUUGGAAAAAACACAAAACUGACUGAUAAUUAUACAUGGUACAGGAAAAUACCAUAAAACAUUCUUCUGUACAAUCCAAUGUAACAUUACCACCAGACUUGGAUCAGACAUGGCUAAAGGAACAGAGGAUAUCAAGUUUAUGACCAUAAAAGGUACUUGAUAAUGGAGUGGUAUAUGCUAAAACACCUAUUUCACACUCAAAUACAUCAAAAGGGAGCUUCUUGAGAAGCAAAAUAUACAGGAGUUCUUAUUCUUUUGCAGCUGAGUCAUGUGUCAACGGGCUGAUAACUUCUCUUGAACAUUCUGAAGACCGUGAGGAUGCAGUUGCUGAAACAUCUUGAGAUGUGCUUGAACAUGAAUCUGAUCGUUUGAAAUCGUCCUUUCCAUUUGAAUCGAUGCUCAAAUAAUCAGUUAAGACCUUUUUCACACCAAAGCCUCGAGUAGAAAGCUUGCUGCCUUCAAACAUUUUUGAUCUAUCUCCCUUUGCAGGACUAAUAUGUUGGGAAGGGGAGAAGCUUGGUGUAGUAAAAGCUGUUUUAUAUGGGGUGCCGUUGACAGGUACUGAGAGAGGCGUCCCCAUGCUCUUAUGUGCAAUGAUACCGACUUUGGAGAUUGGCACAAAUUGAUCUGAGUGUUUAUUCAAAUCAUCUGCAUAAAGAAGGUCAUCAACGCGUGCAAUAAUAUUGAAUGCCAGGCUUUCAAGCACUCUCGAGUAGCUCUCCAAAAUAGAUUUGCCAACAUCCUGAGGAACAAGAAGAAAUAUAGUUCAUUAGGGUACUAAAUCAAUAAAUCAUGAUUGGCCAAGAGAGGAAAAGUUCUUUCCUUUAAGAAGGAAUGAAAACUCGUUAGUGGGAUUUCAUAUCGAACCUUGUUAUAUUGAAUUUUGCUCAUGUCUAAGGUUGUCUGUGGGAGACCAGGGAACCUUUGCUUUAAGCAAAGCAAAAGGCUUUCAGCUCUAUCAGCAAGUAACUCCCUCUUAUCGCCAUCAACCAUCAAAUCCUUAACCAUUUCCCAUGAGGAUUUUGAAUUGGACCUGUGCGUACUACCAAAAGGUUUUGAGUGAGCUCUUCUGCGCCACACAUAAAUUGAAGACUCCACUCGGUUUGCUAUCUCGAAUGCUUGAUGCUCAGAAGACAUAUCAAGACAGUCAAGCAAACAUUCAGGUGAAAAUUGGUCCGAAGUGAUAUAACGGUGGAUGAGAUCACCUAAGCUAGCUUUUCCGUUCUGCAAGAUAAAAAAUAGAACACCUGCAAAAUGAGUAACCUCCAGGUCUAUUUUAGUAUAAAAACACGAGUUAGUUUCUCCAGGAAAGCUCUGUACCUUAGGAAGGCCUUCAUAAUAUGAUUCAGGCACCUCCAUUUCAGCUAAGCUGUUGCUGUUAAUCGCCAUUGCAGCUUUCAGGAUUUGGUUUGUGCAAUCACGUUUGUGCUGCAACUGCCUUCUUGCAUUUUCACUGAGACCACCAGGGGGAGUUCUAGGAACCGGUAGCCACCAUUUCUCUUCUUGACGAGGGAGAGGAUUUCUGAAUGAGGACGACCCAUCGGAUUCUGGAGCUAAGAUUCCUUGGUCAACAUACCAGAAUUCUGUGCUUCGGAAACUGUCUAAUAUAUCCUGUGAAAGAGGCAAACACUUGACACUAUAGCUCUUAGCAUUGAACAAUAAAGGCUGAAUGCCCAAAGAGCAAGGAAAGACUAUCUUACAAGGAGCAUAUUGUCCAGUUUACGGAGAGCUGGAAGAUUUACGUAAAGGUCUGACCGUGGCCUAGAAGUCAUAACCUAAAACAGAAGAGUGAAUAAGUUAACACACAUGUUCAUUCAAUUUGUUUUUCCUAUCGUAGCUCAUUAAACUGAUUGUUCCAAAUCAUAGGGAAAAAUGCAGGAAUUUUUCCAUGUUUUAAGCAUAUGAUAAAUGUUUGAUAUAAAACAUGAGUACAGCUCUCAGGAUGCAAACACCAAUCCAAGUUACAGACAUUUUCUAUAGUGGUAGAUAGAUAACUUGAAUCACCGGAACAAUGCCAAAGAAACCGCAUUUACCUCAAGUUUGCUGCCAUCUGGAAAUGUCUGCCAAGAGGGUAUGAGUUCUACAAUAUGAUCACUAACACAGAGAAGCCAUUCCAUUUCUCUCCGCCACAUUAACUUUUUCUCUGGAGCUAAAGGUUCUAAUCUCCAAAUUUGCCCAAAAAGAGUAGCUAAUGGAAAAAAAGAGAAGGGAAAAUGAAGGAAAAGAAUGUAUACUUCGUAAACUGAAAACUCGCUACAAACUGAAUCCAAUACUCAACAAACUAACUUACCACAUAAAUUAGUGAUAGCAUUAGAAAUUGCAAGUGCUGUGCAAACCCCAUUUCCACAACCAGACAUGUCUUCUCCCAGCAGCAAUUUUGAGAAUCUCUCCUUCAUCAUUUCAAUCUCUACAGAAUCCCCACAAGUCCAAUCACAAUACAGAAUCUUAAUGACCAGACUUGAUACAACAAAAUAGCGUAAUCACACAAUGUGAGGUUUAGGAUAGAAUGUACCCCUACAUCACGGAAGUAGAGAGGCAAUUUCCGAUAGGCUCAAGGAGAAAACAAUCCAAAGAUGAUAUGAUAACAAAAGUGAACAGUAAUCACAAGAAGUUAAUAAGUAUAAAAAACUAAAAUAUAAUAAUCACACUCAGAGCAGACAACACACUAUGAGAGCAAUACUAUGACAAAUAGUAUGGAAGGAUAAGCGAGACAGCACUCAACUAUCUAAGACAUAUAAAUAUGCACAAGAAUAUUUAUAAAAAAUCUUACCAGACAAACAAGACCCUUGUUUCUCCAACUUCCUUUUAUCUACAAAAGGCUUCUCUACUUCUUCAGAAACAUCAGAAUUUGCACAAUGCUGCACCUCAUCAUCCUGAAUAUGCCAAACAAUUGAAGAUGGAGAACAAGAAUCCUCAGACCCGCUAUUUUCUUCAUUCACAUUUUCCUCUGACGCUAAAAGAACAGAACUUGAACUACUGCCUAUUCCAAUUUUCUCAUCCAAAGACUCCCCAUAACCCUCCAUUACCCUUUCUGCCCCAUCACUCUUAUCAGACAAAACCUCCAUUUUAUCAUCAAGAGAAGAAGCAGAAUAAACAGAGUUAGUCAUCACAAUGCCAUCAAAAUCAAACCUUUUACUUCCAAACCUCUUUGACACUUUAGCUUUUUGAUACAAAUUCUUGAUGGAUUUUGAAACCUUAAACUUCAAUACAGAAAAAUGGUUCUCUUUCUUGGAACUUACACAAGGGUCUAGUUGAAUAAAAUGCUUGAGCUGUGGCUGAAAUUCUCUCCUUUUGUCCUUGUGUGACUCAAGUCUAUCCAUAAGUUUUCAACUCCAACCAUAUCUGCUUCUCAAAUGGGGGUAAAAACAGACAACAAAUCAAGAAAUGGGGUCAAUUUUUUUUCUUCAAAAAUAUUAUAAAAAAAAAAGAGAAUCUUGAUUAGAAGAGUGAAGGUGGGCAAUGAUUAAAUGCAAAAAUACAAGCGUUGUGAAGUAAAGGAAGGUGAGCUAAUGAGAACAAUGAUGGCAAUGAGGCCAUAAAAGCAGACAAAGAAACAACACAAGAAGUAUUUUGGUGGGCUAUGGGCAUUUGCUUAAAUGAAGAGCCUUUACUGUCAUUGUCAAUGUCAAAUAUAGUGACAUUUGCUUUUGUUGGGCUUUGCUUAAACAAGGGCUCUUAAAACAUAAUUAUUGUUUAUGAGUAUAAUAUUUCAAUUUUGUUUCGAAAAUAUAAUAGUUUGGUGCAUAUGAUAUAGUCACGGGAGUCGUGUAAGGGAUGGAUCAACCCACAUGGAUGGUUUGGUAGGCCUAUAGAUACUUCCGAUUGAAUUUGAAAAUUUUGAUUCGCAUAUUUUUAAUAAUAAGUAUUAACGAUUUUGAUUUAUUUUUGUUCUAAAUUAUACAACUUUUUACAAUUAAUAAGAAUUGAGGUCAUUGUACCUAUCAUAUCAUAUAUUAAGUUCUACUUACUUAUGGCAUGACGUGAGAGUGAGAUGUAAAGAAGAAUACAUGUAUUCCAUUUAGAAGAAAAUUCUUACAUUCGACUUAAGAGUAUAAAUUAAUGGAUAGAAAGGUUGGGUACUAGUCUAUUGGAACAUUUGGAAAUUGUACUUAUUAGUAUGGACACAUAUAGUAUAGGUAGACCGAAUAUACUGUAUAGAAAAAUGAAAUUUUUAAAUACUCGAAAUUCGAUAUUUAGUAAAAUUCAUAAAUUAUGAAAAUAAAAUUCACAAUCUAGAUAUUAAAAAAAUUUGAAUUUUGAUUUAGCUUAAGUUGUGUCCACCCCGCUUAUUCAUAUGUAUAUUAGUUAUGUAAAUUUUAAAAUUACAAAUCAAAUAUUGUAUUAAUUUUAUACGUAAAUUAUUUUACCUCACAGUUCAUUAUCAAACAAAAUAUUAUUUAUACAAAAGUUUUGCAUUCAUAAGCCGUCUCCGAGCCAAUUACAAAAUAACCACACCAAGUUUUGAAAAUUUUGUAGCUAUAAUAUCACUACCUAAGCUUUUAGAUUUUUCUAGUUUGGUGAUAUUUAUUGAGAUCUUCUCUUAGUUGGAUAAUGUUUGAAUUACCUUGGCAAAAUUACAACUAAAAAAUAGGAAUAAAGCAACUAAAUUAUGUAAUUAAAUAACAAAUCAAAGUCAAAUCUAUGUAAUGAUAAAUUAACUAUUUUCUUUUAAAUCAAUUCAUAUAGUAAAUUCUUUUUAGUUUGUAUUAAAAAAAAUAAUACAACUUUUUUGUUUAGUAAUAAUUUAAUUUUAAAAUAUUCAUUAUAUUCUUAAUAAGAUGAUUUAUAUUAACACCAUAUUUAUUACUUACUUUAGAUCAACAAUUUACAAUUCUCUUUUUUAGUUAAAUUUAAUGAUAAAUCAAACAACAUUUCAUAAAUUUUAAUAAAGAAAAUAUAAAUAUAUGAUUAUAGAUUAGGCAUGUCACUAUCAAUUUGUUGUUGUGAUGGCCUUUGCUUGAACAAGGGCUCUUACAUAAUUAUUGCUUAUUUCAGUGGCCUAAUACAAUAUUCAACUUUCAAAGUUCAUUUUGAAUUUUUAAGAUGACUUGGGUCAAGGGAGUCGUGUAAAAAAAGAUUACUCAAUUAAUUGAAGUUCACUAUGGUUAUCUUAUAAAAUAAUUAAAUAAAUUUUGAAUGAUGCAUAAAAUUAACUUUCUCUAUGUAUAGGGAGAGUUAAUAUUGAAUAUCGUAAUUUUAUCACUACAGUAUUAGACUAUGCUAUCAUGUUGAGAAUUUAUUUUCCUAUUUGAAGUAUCAAAUGUUAUUUUUGUCUACUUUCAUUUUACACACUUAAAUUUUAAUUAUAGAAAAAAAACUAUUUCGAUCUUUGUCAACAAUCGAUACAAAUAGAAGAGACGAUGCUUUUGAGAAGACAGCACUUCUGUUAUAAUUGUUGCAAAGAAAUAAAUGAAUUGCUUAUUUUUCAAAUGAUGAAAGCUAAAAUAUACAAAAGAAUUACGUAUGGGAGAGUGCCUAGGGUGACAAAUACUACUAAUUUGGAGUUUAGGGAUACAAGUCAUUAAUUCUUGCUCUAUUAAUUUGUAUUCGCGCCGGAUUAACAUAACAAAACGAUAAAAUACUUAUUAUUGAAAUGUUCUUAAUUUUUUCGACUUCAAACCCAUCAAAUCACUGAUUAAACGAUGAAGAAAUUACAACUAUUUUAAGCGAGUAUCAAUUGAGAUUCAAAUUCUUCACUACAAAAUUAUAAUAUUGAUAGAUAAUUCCUUUUGAAAUUACAAUUUCAACUUCGAGUAUAAUACUCUUUACUAACAAACAAAUGAUGGAUAUAAUUUUAUAGCUAAAUAAUAAAAAAUUAUGAUAUGUAAUUUGAUUUAGCAAUGAAUUAGCUAGAUAGAGAUCACUAAAAAAAUUUAUGGUUAAUUUCAUAUUUUCUAUUACUUUAGUAGUAAGGUAUAUACAAAGAUGAGAACAAAACUGAAAUGCAGCCAAAUCCAAGGCCACCAGCCAGCACUAAGGUUAAGUGAUAAAAAAGGAUGUUAAUUUUUAUUUUUUUUUGGGUCAUAUGAGAACCCUUCCUUCACAAAUUAAAAGGGUCCCAUUUAAUACUUCCAAACAAUGAAACAAAUAAAUAUCUGUCUUCCUUUCGAAGUGUCAUCAAAGAUUAGUAUUUUUUUCAUUCGCUUUUAUUUAUUUAUAUUUUAUAAAUAUUUUUUUGUUAUAUCUUAUCAUUUUUAACAUAUAAAUAAAGACAUUUUUCUUUUCAUGUUUUAUUCUUAAAAUUAAUUACUUAUUUCUUAAAUUAUUUUAUUAGGUCUGAUACCAAAUAUCAAUUAAUAGAAGUAAACAAAAGAAGUAACUAGUUUCUUCUUUUUAUUAUUAUAGCAUUGUAUUUUAAAAAGAUACUUCUAACCUAUCCAUAUUUAUUAUUAAUUUUUUCAACAAAUAUAUAAUAAAUUAAAAUAACACUUAUUUUGAGUCGAAGCAAUAUAAAUACCAAGUGGAGACGUCCACAAAGCAGAAACUUGUAGUUGCAGGAAUGUCAAGUUUGGUCAGUGGUCCCGCUCCGUAUCUCCAAGCUCCCCCAAUCCUAGGGCACCUUUUUUUUUUUAUUUUUUUUAUAUUCAUAUCUUUUUAUAUAAUAAAAUAAAAUAAUAAUAAUUAUUAAAGAUGCUUUUGUUAAUCGACUGUGUGUAACAAUUUGACAUGUUUAAUUUACAUUUUGACCCAUCAAAAUAAAAUUACCUAUCAAUCUUUUUUUCAAAUUAUUUCCUCGUACUUGCAGUAGAAAACAAUGGAUAUAUAAUUAAUUUACUCAUUAAUAAGCUGUAUAACUGGAUUUUAGGUAACUUAAUUGUGUACAAAAUAAAGGAUAAGUACAUAAGCACGAUCUUAUAGUGUGACUGAAUACUCCAUGAAUGAACAAGUUAAAUGUAAAAUUAUUUGAAAAAAACUUAUAAUUUCUAGUAACGGGUGCAGACUCAUCUCUAGAAUUAAAGACACGUGUGUGUAUAUAUAUAGAGAGAGAAUAUGAAUUAGUUCAUAUGGCAAUUUAGUUAUUGAUAUUACACAAUAUAUAAAAUUAUGAUCUGAAAUUGAAAUUUUAUGCGUUUUUUAAUAUGAUUGCAUUUAUAAAGAUGAAAGUUGUAAUAAUUCAAUUGGUUGAUUAUCACCUAACUUAAAAUUUAAAACACUGAGAACAUGUGUUCUUUUUUAUAUAUUUCAAUUGUAUAUCUCUUUCUUUUUUUAUGAUAGACAUGGCAAGCUAAGAGAAGUAUUGAGGAAAAUGAUAUAGGUGACAUUCACACAGGAAUAAACAUUGCCAUAAAUGGGCCAUUGUUGAAAAUGAUAUUAUUAUUAUAGUAUAUUUUGGGAGCUGAAUAUUUAAUCUGCUAUUUAUUUCUUUGGGAUACUAUUAAUCAUAGUAUCUCCCCAUGCAUCUAACACUUUAAAACACCACCAACGAUAAGGUUUUCACUUUAUUUUUUUUUAGCUUUCCUUGGAAGGUAUAAAGUUGUCCAUUUCAUUUAAUAAGGUCUAGAUCAUAAUUUCGGUUGUUCAAUUUAAAAUAAGAAAAAAUGUGAGAAGAUUAUUCGAUGCACUAAGUUUUUCUCACACAUAUAUAUAUAUAUAAAAAGAGAGUUUCGUUUAAUAUACGCGGUAUCUAUUUUUUGAUCACGUGGCUAGCGCUUUUACUGCAAACUAAAUUGUAUUGGGCCACUUCUAUAAUAAGGCUGGACAUUGAAAUAUUGAGCUUUUAUGUCCUUUGAGCCCAGAAUGGGUUAAACCCUGACAAAAAGGUGGUGUUAGUUUUAAGAGAAACUUUUUAAUUACACAGAUAUUUUUACUAAUUCUUUUUAUAAUUUAAAAUAAUUAUAUUUUAAGUCAUAAUUUCAUACCAGAUAAACCUAAACAUAUUUUAUGCUAUCAGAUACAUUGAAAUAGGGAGAGAGGCGAGCAAGAAUAGGAGAGAGGUCAGUCAUAUUCACGUGAGUCACAAUGGAUAUAUAUAUAUAUAUAUAUAUAUAUAUAUAUAUAUAUUUAGAUACUAGAUACAUAGGAGAGUGGAGAGUGAGAUAGAAGGGAUGCAGACAAGAUUUGUCUUUGUAUCCAAGAUACAUACGAAUUCAUUUAUGUGUAUGAAGAAUAAUUUACAUCUAAUUUUUACUUCAUUUAUCCCCAGAUACAUGUAAUUGGGUGUAUCUGGACGCACCAGAAUCUAGUAAUGAUUCAUAAUAUUAUAAAUUAAUAUGUAUCUAAGUAAUUAAUUCCUAAACCAGUGAGAUUUCGAUAAGCUAGGAUUGUUGGGACACUACAAUAGAUUUUGCAAGUAAUUCACACACAACAUAGGAUUAAUUACUAAGAAGUUCAUUUUACCUGCCCUACAUUUCAAUAUCAGUAAACCUAUAAUAACUUGCUAUAACCAGUUAGCAAUUAUAUUAUUCCGAUUAUGUAAAAGUUCUUUAUAUUAUAUUGUAUGUGGGUGUAUAGAUGUUAAAUCUCGAAUAGUAAAAGAUGUGUAAAAAACAUUCUUAUUGAAUGAACAUGCUGGAGGAAUUAGUCGUGAUCAAUGCUUGUGGAAAUCAGGAUCCUUAACUAUAGUCACAGGACAAGCUGCAUUGUUCAAUACAUAAUUUGUUACACUUCCCAACAUUAUCCUGUUUCAAAAAAUAAAAAUAUCCAAAAGUUAAUGAAGUACUUAUAUGGAAUAUAAAUAUAAAAAACAACAUGCAUAGGGAAUAACAUAUUUUUUUUUAUCACCAAGUAGCUUGAAACUAACAUUUUUGUUUUAAUUUCAGGCGAAAAUUCAUGUAGUCAAUCAGUUGAUCUGCUAUGAAUUUCUAAUUUUUUGGUAAUUUAUUGCUAAAUAGAAUUAGUAAUAGAUUUUACUAUUUUACUAUAGAAAUUACUUAAUAAUGAUAGAAAGUACCUUUGGAUAGCACUUAGGCCUCUGCUACCCAUGACCAAAGAAUCCAACCUGAGAUCUUCAAUAGAGUCACAUACUUUCUCUCUUGCAUCUCCCCAAUACACUUUUGCCACAAUGUUUAUCUGUACGACAAAUCGAAUUAGCAUGAGAUUCUUAUUAUUUAGAUACGAGAUUUUAUCUGUCAUUAAUUUCUUCUGUAUAUGAUUAGAGUUAUAAGAAAAAAUAGACAACUAAUUAAUAGAUGCAAAAUAAUAGUACCUGUUUCUGCUUAGUAGCUGCAUCAAGUAAAUCAACAACUUGGACAUCAGUCUUUUUGAUAUCAUAAUACUUCAUCACUUCUGGAUCUCUAAACUCCACCCAUGGAAUUAGAGCUAACAAAAUAAAUUAAAAUCGCAUCAUAAAGUGAAAAAACAAAAAUAAAAAUAAUUUAAUAUCAAUUGACAAUAUAAUUUUUUUUUACUUCAUCACAUCACCUAUAUGAUACAAACAAAAAGUAAUCUAAAUAUAACUACAAGCACAUAAUUAAACUAGUUAUCUAAAAUAUUAUAACUAGUGGCGAAGUCAUAAAUUCAGAUAAGGUGAAAAAUAUUAGGGUAUCACACCUAUCCCUAGGAUAUCUACUUAUGAGGAAAGAUUAUUUUUAAUAUUCAAAUUCAAAUUCUAAGAUUUCAUAUGAAAUAAAAGAAAAAAUAUUUUUACUUUAUUUGUGCAACACAUUAUUAAUUUUAGGCAAGGGAAUUCAAUUGAUGAACUUAACCCUUGACCCUCUUUAGCGUAUAUAUAACAGAUUAAAUUAUAUUGAUAAUAAAGGAAGGUACUUACGUGAACCAGUUUUUGCCCAGAGCUGGUCACGGGACUCACUGAGUGUGUGAGUUUUGAUGUGAAUUAAAUAAACUGUGUCACUUUUUUCAGCCAAAUUUUCAACUGUCCAUUUCAAUGCUUCCUUGCUACUCCUUGAAAAAUCCACUGCCACACCAAUUGUUUUUUCCUUAUUCCCCAUUUCUUUUUUUCUUGUCAAAACUAAAAAAAUAAUUCAAGGAAAUGGUCUUUUUUUUUUGUAUAUAUUUUCUUUUCUCUAAUUUUGAUUUGAAGUAGGGGUGUUACGUGAAUAAUGGAAGAUUAAAAGUAUAGAAAUUUGAUCCAUUAUUUUCGUUUUUUGGUCUUCACUUUUAUUUUCAUGAUUUGUGGGUGAAAUGGGAAAAAAAGAAGAAGAAUGGAAAACGUCAACACAAAUAUUUGCAUCGAGUGUAUAUAUAUAUUGUAUACUUUAUACAACUAAAUCUCACUAGUUUAAGAUCAAAUGAUACAUACAUUCUAAUUUGCGAUAUGACAAUUUUCACAAAUAGCAAACAUAAAAUUCAUAUUUGUAUGCUAUAGCAAAGUUUGCAUAAUUGCACUCCAUAGCAAAUCUCAUCUCGCUCACCAUUUUCAUGAUCAAACGAUCCCUGAAGCAUGAAUACCCCCAUCUCGACGAUUUUCGUGUGCUAUAGAAAACCAUUUUUUGAGUGAUCCAGAUUGCGACAUCAAAAAUGCCAAAAAAAUUUGUGGACGUUCGUCAAGACCUUGAAUAUCCAUACGGUUUCCCUCACGGCCAUUUUGACCCAUUUUAAAGGUUAAACGAGCCCCGAAGCGCGCAUACCUCCCAUUUCGACGAUUUUUGUGUGUUAUAGCAAACCAUUUUUGGGGUGAUCCGGAUUGCGACGUCAAAAAUGCCAAAAAAUUUUGCGGACGUCCUUCAAGACCUUGGCUAUCCAUCCGGUUGUCCCUCACGGCCAUUUCAACCCAUUUUAAAGGUUAAACGAGCCCCGAAGCGCGCAUACCCUCCAUUUCGACAAUUUUCAUGUGCUAUAGCAAACCAUUUUUCGGGUGAUCCGAAUUUCGACGUCAAAAAUGCCAAAAGUUUUUGUGGACAUCCGUCAAGUCCUUGGCUAUGCAUCUGGUUGACCCUCAUGACCAUUCCGACCCAUAUUCAAGGUCAAAAAAGCCCCGAAGCACGCAUACCCCCCAUUUCGAUAAUUUUCGUGUGCCAUAGCAAACCAUUUUUCAGGUGAUCUGAAUUACGACAUCAAAAAUGAUUUGUGGACAUCCGUCAAGACCUUGGCUAUGCAUUCGGUUGUCCCUCACGGCUAUUCCCACCUAUUCUAAGGUCAAACGAGCCCCGAAGCGCGCAUACUUCCCAUUUCGACGAUUUUCGUGUGCUAUAUCAAACCAUUUUUUGGAUGAUCCGAAUUGCGAUGUCAAAAAUGUCAAAAAAAAUUGUGGAUGUCCGUCAAGACCUUGGCUAUGCAUCUGGUUGGCCCUCAUCGGCAUUCCGACCCAUUUUCAAGGUCAAAUGAGCCCCGAAGCGCAUACCUAUCAUUUUGCGAUUUUCGUGUGCUAUAGCAAACCAUUUUUUGGGUGAUCCGGAUUUCAACGUCAAAAAUGCCAAUUUUUUUUGUGGACGUCCGUCAAGACCUUGGCUCUGCAUCCGGUUGGCCCUUACGGCCAUUCCGACCCAUUUUCAAGGUCAAACGAGCCCCGAAGCGUAAAUAAGAAGAAGAAAUUAGAGAGAAGAGAAGAGUUAUUAUUAAUGAAGAGGAGCCUCUAUUUAUAGGGAAAAUCUAACUUGGUCCCUAAAUAAGACUUUUAACCAUAUCAUAAAAGGACUUCACAUGAUAGACAUUCACUAUAAUAUAAAUACUUUAUAACAGUACACUUUUAUUUUAAUUAAUUAUUAUGCUUGUAAUUUAUUUUACGUAUUCACUAUAUUAAAAGUGUAUUUAAAGAUCUUUUUCUUCAUAUUUUGUUUUAAAUAUUAAUUACUUAAUCAUUAAAUUUAUAUCCAAAAAAUUAAACAUAUUUUAAAGCCCGUGCAAAAUUUAGAUUGAAUAAUUAAUAAUAAAUGUAUGAAGUAUUUGAUCCGAGUGUAUUAUAUUAUUUAUUCUUAUACAAGCCUAGGGGCCGAAGAUACCUGGUUCAACGAGUAUUUAAUUUGUUAGAAUAUUAUAUAUACUAAUAUAAAUAGGAUAAAAAUAAUUAAUAUUUACUGAAUUACCUUAUUAAUGUAAUAAAACCUUCUAGAAUAAUAAUAUUUGGCAGAAUGUUUAGAUUUAGGGAAUAUCUUUACUUUGGUAACUUGUUCCACACUUAACCAGACACUAAAUUAACGUCAUUCUAUUCUUGCACUAUAGACUAUAUCUGAUCAUGUACUUCUUGAUGUUUAUAUGUACAACGGCCUGGAAGAUCCCGAUAUUUGUUAUGAUUUGUAAUUUUGAUUCUCGUACUCUAUGAGGUUUUCAUUUCGAUAUAUAUAUGUUCAAAAUGUUUUAUUUUGAACUUCAUGAAUUAGGCAAAAUGAAAAAAAAUAUAAAAGUUGUUGUCGAGUAAUAAAUACUCUUAUAUAUGUAGUCAUUUGUUAGUGAAUGUUUUACUUUUAAUUUGAAAUUUUCUAACGCGAAAUCAAAUUUAAUUAAACCCAAUAUAAUAACAUCAGAAAAAUACAUUAAUAUUUUCAGUAUUUUGCAUGAUUAAUUGUCUUGCUCUAUGUAUGAAGUUUGGAGUGAAACCACAAACCCACGAACCUAAUAGUUGGAUCCAUAAGGAGAUAGAAGAAAGUCAUUCAUUCCGGUCAUUGAGUCCAGAUUGAGGAUUGAUUGAUUUAAAUCAAAGACUUGAUUAUAUAUAGGAGAAAUGUGUUCUCCUAAUACUGCUUUGUGAAAACCUAGAAUAGAAGAAAGUCUCUUUAGGAUGGCUCUAUCCUAGCUAGACCGAAUUCCAACUACUUAUUAUAGAAGACUCAGGCAUACUUCCCUAUAUACUUUUCCUAAGUGACAUUAGAAUACUUUUUCAACUAAUUCGAAAGGAGCAAUAAAUGAUAAGUUCACCUCUCACGCUGGAAAAUUGGAGAGUUGAAACUUUCCUGCUCUUAAUUAGACCCGUUGUAGGGCCAAUAAGAUCAGGAAGAAGGUGAUUGAAUUCUUCCUGUUAUCCGAAUUGACUCUAAUCAUGAUGUUGACUCUCUUACGAUAUCUCCCAUUGUCGCAAUAGAAAUCGAGUAUGGUGGUGAUUUCGCUACAGUUGUUUAUAGUUGGAAAUUUCAACUCGAAAGCCCUAGUUCUACUGACUUUGUACUAGAUUAAAUUGAAGUCAAAGAAAUUCAAAAUAUGUGAACUUUCAUCGCCUUGAGACAAUAUAUCCAAAGAGCCUACCCUAUAAUAGAUUCAGCUAAAAUGCUUGAAAGAUUUUUUUCUCAAUCAUGAAUUCAAACUUAUUACUACUUGAAAUGCGCUGGCAAGAGUAAUCGAAAAAGGUUGGAGAAUAUAGAUCAGUCCAAGUCCUAUAUAAAUAAAAUAUCACAACCUUGCACUUUCUUUUAUUUUUACACAAGCAUACUAAAAUAUCGACUCCAUUAACCUUGCACUUCCUCCUUAUUUUAGUCUUAUAUAAAUAAAAAGUGAUGUAUACCCUCUUGACACGAAAUAUAAAUAUAUCUAUAUUAGAAUAUUCGAACUGUUCUAACGUGUGAUUUCUUGACCGCUCCCUUCUUAGGAAUAGUGACAAUAAGCACUUCCUUCUCCAUUGUUGAUAUCACUUUAUCAACCCCAGCAUCCUCAGGCAAAUUAAAAACAGUUGAAAACUUGCCAACUUUUUUCUGAAAAUGAUGCCAAUUGUCAUAUUCUUUUUCUACUAUUUUUUUCUCCCCACUAAUCUUUAAGAUUCUAUCAUCUUCUACUUGUACCUUCACUUCUUCUUUCUUAUAUCCAUGCAAAUUAUUGGCUCUAAAAACAUAUGCCUCUGGGGUUACAUUACACUCAAAUUGAGCUAAAAAUGGAGUAACAUGUGGAAAUGAUAGUGAUGGUGCUAUGAGAGAUCGAGGGGUUUCGAGAUAAAAUUUAUGAGAGGGAUCAUAAGGAUCCUUCUGACCUCGACUUGUUUGGAAUUGAUGUGUGAAUUUUGUUGUUGCUAGUUGAUUAAAAAGAUUGUGUAGAUCUUGAUUUCUUGUUGGUGGUGGAUAAUUAUAAAGAUCUUUCUCAUUACCUCGAUUUGGUUUAUAUUGAUGCAUUAUUGUUGUUGUUGGAUCGUAAGAAUCAGAACGAUUAUGAUUCUUUUGGGAUUGAGGUGUAAUUGUUGUUGUUGGCGGAGAAUUUUGUACGCACCGUGAAUGGUUUUUGCGACCGUUAAAUAGAGGUACUAAAGACAUUUUUCUUUUGUAGUACACUUAAUUUGAUUUAGAAUAAGAUAAAUAUUUUAGAGAGAAAAUCAAAUGUGAUGCAAUGAGUUGCUUGCUUAUUUAGAGUGUUGAGGAGUGGGGUAUGUAUUUAUAGGGAGGAGUUUUGAGAAAUGGAAUCUUCUUUGACGUGUAUUUGAGAAGAUAUAAUAAAAGGAUGGAAUAUAUAGAAACUACGUAUUGACCAUGUGUAAAACAUUUGUUUUCUUUCUUAGGUGAUACUUUUUGAAUUUUAGGAUUUAAAAGAAGUUUUGAAUCGUCAAAUGAUUUAUGAUAUUUGUAAUACCUUUUAGGUAAUUUAUAAAUGUAUAAGUUUUAUUUUAAAAAUUUAUAUAUCUCAUGUCUAAAUUUAUUGUCAAAAUUUAACUGUUUGAAUUUUGAUAAUUGAACUAUGCCAUAAAAAUUGGGACCAGACAAUACUUAAUUAGCUAAAAAAUAACAUAUCAAAUUAUCAUGUUUUUCUUUUCAAACUUUAACUAUCUAUUGUUCUUUUUACAUACCGUAACUGUUGCUCCCUUUGUAUUAAAACAAACCUCAGUGCUGAGUUUAUCAAAUAUUUGUUCUUAAAAUCAUCAACGGGGUGGGUAGGUUAACUAAGCAUCAAAAUAUGAGUGUUAAUACAAAGGAAGUGAUAGUUGAGAUAUGAAACUUAUAAAAAAAAGUAAUAAUACUUUAAAUAGGUAAACAAAACAAUGAAUAAUUAAAAGAUAAAACUUAUAUAAAUAAAUAAAUAAAUUAGAAUUUAAAUAUUUUUCUUUUACCAUUAACUCAAAAAUAAACUACGUUGAUAAUGUAAGUGUAAUAAUUGUGCAUGUCAUAACCAUAUAAAAAUUAAAAUAAAUAACAAGGGAAAAAUGAAAGAGAACAAAUGCUUUGGAUUAAUGUGACAUGUAGCUAUCAAAUCAUUUUAAAAUAUUCGCAUAAUUGGAGGUUUCUCCCUGUUGUUAAUUUAUAUGCAUGAACCACCUUUUAUUCUUAGAUACAAAUUAAUGGAAUGUGAAAAAGAAAACUUACCUCUAUUAUAACUUUGCCUUUUGUAGAUUCCGCGUUACCACGUAACAUCACAAAUCACUUCUCCUUCUUCAUCCAAUUGAAAAUGAAAUCUUCAUGUUGAAUAUAUAUACAUUAGUGGCGGAGUUAGGUGGGUUUAUAGGUUCAGAUAAAUUCAUUAGCUUUUUUCGUAGAUUUAAAUUUUUUAUAUAUAUAUUAACAUGUGAAAUCACAAACAAAUCAAUUUGAAAUCCUCAAACUCCUAAUUUUAGCUCGACCUCUGAUAUACAUACAUAUAUAUGUAUUGUUUCACUUUGAUUGUGUACAAACUUAAAAAAGAGCAAAAAAAAGUUAUGGUUUAAAAUAAAAUAAUUUAUUUUACUACAAACAUCUUUGGUAUGCAUGUUAUAUUGUUGACUAUGAACUUUUAUUUUACUUAAUCAUAUGAUUAAUUAACAUGUAUUUUACUUUAAUAAAUCAUAUUUCAUUAUAAUAAAAAUAAUUUUUGGUGAUAAUAAAUAUAAAUAAUAAUAAAGAGUGUUAAAAUAUUAUUGGUAUUAGUUUAUUGUCAUUAAAUUUAAUAUUAUUCUAGGUUUCAGAGAACUUUAAAAAAGAUAUCAAUUACCUCUAAAUAAAUAUAUUAAUAGCAAUUAAGCUAUUGUCGUUUUAAUUAAUUGAUAUUAAAGUCAUUUUAAUUUCUUUACUGUUUCUCUUUGAUAAGUUAUUUUGAUGUAGUAUAAAUUUUUGACGAAUAAAUAAACGACUAAACGAGUGUAGUGUAAAUAUUUAAAAAUGUCAUUAUUUUAUACUACUGGUAAUUAAAUAUGUAUUUGAAUAUGAAUCGAGUAAUAUAGAAAAAGAAGUCAAAAAAUAGGACCAUAUUAGUAAUUAAGUACUCCUUUCGUUUUAAUUUUUGUGUUGUCGACUCCUUCUACUAACAUGCCAUUUUUAAUAAAAAUAGAUGUUUUUAAAUAGGAAAAAUUACAAGGAUAAGCAAACUUAUACUAUUUAAUUACUCAUCAUAGCUAUAGUUUGUUAUAAUACCAUUCGCAACUAACAUUAUACAUUAAUUACGCUAGCUGACUUCGAUUUGUAUAAUUAGUCAUGUUUGUAUAUGUAUAAUUCACCAGGAUAUACAAAUAAAUAUGUAUAAUAUACAAUAUUUUAGCCUAUAUACAUAUACAAUUAACCUCUCUCCCACUCUCUGCCCUCUCUCCUCCCUCUCUCAAUCUCGCUCGCCUCUCUCCUACCUCUCCCAAUCUCGCUUUCCAUUUAUACAAAUGUAUAUGUAUAAUAUACAGUUAUAUACAAUUAUCUACAUAUACAAUUCACUUCUCUCUCACUCUCUUCCAUAUCUCGGUCACCUCUAUCGAUCUUGCUCGCCUCUCUCCUCUGUCUCCCAGUCUCUCUCGCCUCUCUCCUCCCUCUCCCAAUCUAUCUUGCCAUUUAUACAAUUACAUAUGUUUAAUAUACAAUUAUCUAACCAAUAUACAUAUACAAUUCACCUUUCUCCCACUCUUCUCCCCCUCUCUCUCGCCUCUCUCCUCUCUCCCAGUCUGCUCGCCUCUCUCCUCGAAAUAACAUGUAGCUACAAAUUGGAAUUAUCAAACUAUAGCUAUAGAGAGUAAUUAAUUAUUUUUAAGUGGUUAUAUGUGAAAGUUUUCCUUUUAAAUAUUUGCUCUUAUAAAAUCAAUACAUAAAUAGCACUAUUUUUUCUAUUUUACCCUUUGAGAGUUACUCCUCCGUCCACUUUCAAUUGCCAAGGUUUUUUUUAGAGUCAAAGUAUAAGAAUUUGACUAACGUUUUAUUUUAAAUUUUUUCAUCAUAUCUUGAUAUGCAAAAAACUGCAAUUUCUAAUACUUUUCAUAUAGUUUUUGGAUAUCUAAACUUUUUGAAUAAAAUAUCGAACUAAUAUAAUUUAAUUUAACUUUAUAAAUUAGUCAAAUUUAAUUUUGAAAAGCAGAACGUGACGUUUAAAAAUGCAUGAAUGGAGAAGUAUUAACCUUAAAAACACGAAUUUGACCAAAAAGAAUAUAUGAUUAAUAGAUAUUCAAUCAUUAAUUUAAUUAUGAUAACAUAUAAGUAAGAACGAGGAAUAUAUAUUUAAAUUGAGUAAAGUAGAAAAAAGAAAAGUGGGAAUGCUGGCAAGCAAGGAACAAAGUAAGCAUCAUGCACGUCCAUGUCAAUGGGCUCAACUCCUAGAACCAACACGCUCGUAGGUCUUUUGUUUUCCCCAGCUGCUGCCUUUAGUUUUGACCAUCUCAAUGCAUGUGAUCUCGAUAUCAAGUGGGAAAUCGUAUUCUGCCCAGCUCCCCAUACCUAGUUAUGCCGCUAACACCAGGGUGCACGACACAAACCUUUUGACCAAAGGGUUUGCAUUGCAACUAAGUUUCCAUGUCUGAAAGAGUUUUAAUAGCGGGCACUAGUACAGAGGCCUUACUAUCCUUCUCCCUAAUCUUUGCUGCUCGUAGUUCUCCUCUUUAAUAGCAGUCUUUAGAUCCUGUGCCAAGCUUUCCUCAUUUGGUCACUCUCACUCAUGGUCUUAGUGAAUGUCCUAAAAGGUGUUGUACAUAAUUAUAGCUUAGGAGAGAGGAAAUCUGAAGUUGAAUUGGAAAAAAGGAAAGAAAAUUGAACAGAUGCAAUGAGGUACAAAACAUGCAACACAAUUUUCAAGGCCCACACUGGCCAUUAAAAAUGAUAGAAACGUGCAUUUGAAAUAACUAGAGAGGGGUAGUAAACAAUACGAAGAACAGAUGCUCAAAUACUUGUUUAGCGGACUUAUUGCAUUUUCAAUAGAAUAGGUUGCUUGCUUACACGAAAACCUCUAAAUGUUAUACGGAAAACAGAAGCUACACUUUUUCUUCUCAUAUUGUCAUCGCUCAACCACAUAUGAAUCUCCAGAAAGGUCAAGAAAUACAAACAAUCAUUGCAACAUUAAGGAACAACAAGACAUUUCCAAAAAAUACUGAUUCCCUGUGAUAAGGAAGUCAUUUGACUUAAGUAAUUGGGCUUACUUAUUUAACUUUUUAAUUGUUAAGUGUCCAUUUGUGCACAUUUUGGAGGGCGUAAAUGUCAGUUGAAGGGCAUAUUCAUGUUAUUAUGCCUUAAACAUUUUUUUUCCCCUUCAGCGUUGAGUGUGCACAAGUAGGUAUUUAAACUUAUAUAAAAUUGAACAAGUAGACACAUGAGUCUUACACGACAUAAUACAUGUAAGACUCAGAUGGCUAUAUAGGAUGCCACGUAGAAUGUGUGUGUGUCUAUUUAUUCAAUUUUAUACAAAUUUAAAUAUUUAUUUGUGCACAUCCAAAACUGAAGGAUAUAAAUAUAAAUAAGAUCAAGUAAAAAUAACAUAUUUAUAUAUUACGUCUACAUAUUAUACCAAGGCAAAAUAUAUGCUCAAAGGCACAAGUGCAUUAGCACAUGUAACGUCCGAAGGGAAAAAAAAAUUAAGUUCAAAAUACAAGUUAAAAUUACGUCUCUAAACAUAAAGUCAGUGGCACAAGUUAUGCCAUUUGUGAACACUUAAAAGUUUAAUAUACGAAUAAGAUAUACAAAAAAAAUAAAUUAAUGUGGUUGAUGAAAUAAUCACAAUAUAUGAAUAACUCAAGGUCUUAAACUAGCAUUUUUCUCUUUUAAAAGUUGUCCGUCCCUCUUCUCUUUCAACUGCCGCUCCGCGUCCAACUCGCGUUUAUUUAGAGUAAUAUAAUCAAAAGUGAUUUUCUCCAUGUACAAGUAUAUAUAUAUAUGGAGGAGAAAACUCCACUUUCAAUCUGUUUGAAAAUAGUGAGACAAGCUCAAUUAAAGCUUAAGAUAAAUUCAAUUUUACAAUAACGACGAGUGUAAUCGCAGUUAACGGGUCACAACGAUGUCGUUUUACAUUGGUCGAGAGGCUUCAAAGGUUUGUUUUUUAUUUAUUCACUUUAUGCAAGUUUACAACUCCUUUUUUACUUUCUUGCUCUUGAUUUUUUGUGGUGUUGUUAGAUAUGGAAGAGGAUUUGUACGGAGAGUGGAAUAGAAAUCAAUCUUCUUUCAGAGAAAUGGAAGUAUAUUCUUGGAGGUUUGAUAUUUCAGGUUCAACCUUUUAUUUUCUGAGUUUGGGGCGUGGAAUGAAUAUUCGAUGAUUCAUGUAUCUGAGAUAGAGGCAGUUUGGUAGUGUAGCUUUUGUUGUGUGUAAGGUUUGUGACACGGAAAAGAAUUACUCACUCUAUUUCAAUUCAUGUGACGUAUUUUGACUUGACACAGAAAAAUUUGUGGCAUAAUAUUUCUGCGAGUAUAGAAGCUGAGAGACUAUUUUGUGUAGUUGCUUUUAGUUGAUGAUGUUAAGAGUCCUUGAUCAUAGUCUGUGACUUGAUUAAAUUUUGAAACUUAUGUGCAAAAUUAUGGCUUUUUUUCUUUAAAGAAAUAUACAAGUUCAGGUUUAAACUUAAUAAUUUUUUAAAAAAUCUGAAUAUUUGUCUAGUCGACAGUUUCUUUAUUUGGUACUUUCUGUUUUCUUUAUUGUGUCUUGGGGCAGGGAGGAGAAGUGGAAGUUUGAGCAAUCGAAUUUUGCAUUUUCUUUCAACUCUUGUUGAAUGAUGCAAUUUAUUUGUGUUCUUUUUACAUAAUUUGCUGUUGUUGUCAUUGUCAUAUUUGAUACAUCAUUUCCCUUUAGUUGUUUUCACGAUCAUAGUGCUUAUUAGAUCUACCAAGUUGUAAAAUGUCUCACCUAUUGUCAGUACAUACAUGGAUUCGCUGCUCGAGGGGUUCACUACAUACAUCGGCCUGGACGUACUCUUCAGGAUGUCGGCUUCUUUCUUCUUCCGGUUGGUUUUAUUGGUUGUUGGUUCUCUUUAUCUCCCCUCUCUAGGGAGAUGCUCACUCAUAUUCUUCUUUUUUCUUUCUUGUUCUUUUAAACGAAAACUCCAGGAGCUUGGGCAAGAUAAAGGUUAUAUAAGUGAAACUGUAUUCACCACCCUCUUUCUGUCUUUUGUCUUGGUGAGUUGAUUUUGGUAAUUUUCAGUCACCAACUAAUGUUGAUUCCUGCUGUGGAAUAUUUCCAUAACUUCCAACUGAUUUUGGAGCUUUUAGUCUAUUGGAAUUUUCAGUUUAUUUGACAUUUAGGUUUUGAUAUUAUAUUAUCUUGUUAUAACUCAUGUUAUUCCGCAGUGGACAUUCCAUCCUUUCAUUUUCAAGAUCAAAAAGAUCUAUACAGUUCUGAUAUGGUGCAGGGUCUUGGCUUUCUUAGCUGUAAGUGACCAGUUCUCUUGAGGGUCGUUCUUGUGUUGUUUCAUAUGUGAAAGUCCCAAUUAGUUUCUACUUAUCAAAGAAAAAAAGAAGAGAAGUCUCGAUGGAAUCUCAUCAUUUCUACAUUCAGUUUAAAUGUUGGCAAAGAUAACUUUAUUCUCUUCCUGAAUGCUUCAUUAUUUCUCCGUAGGGCUACACAACAUUUAGAGAGAAGUCAUAAUAUCCAAUAUGAUCUGCUAAGUUGUUGAAUGACUGUUUACUACAGGCUUGUCAGUUCCUUCGGAUCAUCACAUUCUACUCUACACAACUUCCUGGUCCAAAUUAUCACUGUCGUGAGGUAAAGACUUGUCUCAUUCGGUUGAUAAUUGAUGUGCCAGUUUGCACUUCUCUGUUGCCUAUGUGCUGUGUGUUACGUGAACUGUCUAUCUUCUGAUAUUGCAGGGAUCAAAGCUUGCCACAUUGCCUCCUCCAAAUAGUGUUUUAGAAGUUCUAUUGAUUAAUUGUGAGAUAUAUUUUGCCUUCUCUCACUGUAUUUAGUGAGUUGUUCUCGUUACAAUGCAACUUAUGUUGUGUCUAUAAAUGUGCAGUUCCUAGGGGCAUGCUUUACGGUUGUGGUGAUCUGAUAUUUUCAUCUCAUAUGAUAUUCUCUCUAAUCUUUGUGCGGACAUAUCAUAAAUACGGGGCAAGAAGGUAGUAUAUGCAGUUGUAUACUCUAAAUAUUAAGUUUUGGUGAAACAGUCUGAUAUUCAGCUAAGAGUUCUGUUUCCUGUGAAUCCGGACACUCUAUAAUUUCUUCAUUUCCUUCACUCCAUUUUUAUGUUUUUGUGUUUUCAAUAACUUGCUGAACUAGCUAGGGACUGAGGCAUACAUGUUGUGGUUUGGUUUUCUGUAAUUUAAAAUGGAUACCCUAAAAAUGAAGAAGGCUUGAGUUAAGUGUUUUUACGACAGCCACAAGUUGUUAGUGAUUGCUGAAUUUGAUUCUGCAGAUAUAUAAAACUGUGUGCUUGGUUAGCUGUUAUUGCUCAGAGCUUCUUGAUUGUUGCAUCUCGCAAACAUUACACAGUGGACGUUGUUGUGGCAUGGUGAGUGGAAUUCUCAGCUUGACAAAUCUGCGUUAUAAUUUUUGUUUGCUAAUAAUAGUUGUCUGACUUGAUUGAGCCCCCUAUAACUUUGUUACAGGUACACUGUUAAUCUAGUAGUGUUCUUUGUUGACAAACAGUUGGCAGGUUUAACAUCCUAAUCCUCACAUUGAAUGAAUUUAAUCUUGACUACUUCCUCCUUCUGCCCCUUUCUUGUUUCUUUUUGCUUAGAAGGGAAGGAUAAAUAUUUUGCUGAACCACUGAGUACUUUCUUCCAGAACUGCCUGACCGUACUAGUGCAGUGUUGAUUCUACCACUGAGCAAAGAUAGCAAGGCUAAGGAAGAGAAUCACAAAUUUCUGAAUGCAAAUUCUGGAGAUCCUGCAGAAUGGGUAUGGAGAAGCGUUCCGAAUUGUGUAUAGAUGUGCAUAACCCAAAUUUAUGAAAAGAUCAUUGAAGAUGGGAGCACAGUUCAUCUUGGAGCAAUGAUGAAUGGUGUAAAGACAAUAUAUGGAAUGCAACUAACCGAAGACUUCCGUUCAAUAUCAUUACAAGGUUGGUUUGACAAAUGUUCUCCAGGUUCACUAGUUUUGGUUUAUAACGUAGAAUACCAAAUUGAAUGUCAAUGUUGUUCAUGUAUCCAUGUUACCUUUGGUUUAAAAUUAUCGAAUGUAUGAUGGAUUCCAUCUUCAGCUGAUAAAUUAUCUUUUUAAUUUUGUACUCCCAAAGUUCUUGUGUUGCAUCCCUCCUUCAGCCGAGGGUGUAUCAAAAGUAACCUCUCUACCUCCACAAGGUAGGGGUAAGGUUUCAUACGCAUUACCCCUCCAAACCCCCCUACAUUGGAUAAUAUUGUUGUUUUGUACUCCCGAAUUUCUGGCUUUUAAUUUUUCAUACUUUGAGUCUAGCCAUUGAUUAGUUGGAGUGACAACACUAGUAAAUCCUUCACAUAUGUCAAGUCUUAGAGAAAUUUUUAUUUUCACAAGUUGGUGGAUAAAGUUACUGGUACUUGUACUGGUAGAAUGUAGUAGAUGUUAGGUAAGUUAGUCACUCGCGCAUGCUGACCUGAAUGGUACUGUCAUAUGCGAAAAAUGGAUGAAAAUGAAGUGCUCUCUCUGACUUGAGAUUUAGCACAGAUGACUAAUGACCAGCAAAAGUGACUGGGACAGAUCCUUAAUCUUACAGUUAAUGUAAAGAGCAUGUAAUGUUCCUUCAUGCAACAGUGGCAUGGGGUCAGUAGAUCCAAUAUGGAUGGCCUAUUACCUCUUUGCUGAAAGGCUUUACUUGAAAACAUGGAGACUGCAACUAACAGCACAUGAAACUUCUAGCAGUGUUUGGUUGUUGCAAUGCUUGAAUUCUUGACACGUGAUAGCCCAUGUCUGCCUUGCAUCGUUCAUUCCAAUGUGAAACUACAUUUUGGGAUCGUUUGUUUCACUUACUAGUUAUAUGGGGAUUAUAAUGUGGGUAUUGUUUACACAGUGAAUAAUAAUGUGGAUUUGUAAGAAGACAUGUUCCAUAUAUUUAUCAACAAAAACUUUUUGACAAUUUACAACUCCAAAUAUCGUAUCAUGUAAUCUGAUUUCUAACUUAUCAACCUCCACAUUAGGUAAAACAUUUACACAAAAUCCUUGAAAAUGGAGACUUAUCUUUCAAAUGUUGGAUAUUUCUCCGGUUUUCUUGGUGGAGAAGACAUCUCAACUUCUAUAGCCAAUCCCAGUUAUGAUAAGUCUCGAGGUGCCCUGCAGAGCUAGUCGGAAAAGAAUGUGUAAAUAUUUCUUUUUAACAUCUGAGAGCUUUUACACAUGGUACAUGAACUCUUCACUGUACUAUGAGGGGAUAUUAAAGUGGAAGAGCCAAGAGAUGACAAAGGCAAAUACCAUACAGGCUAAAAGGAAAUUCAAGAAUCGAUGACCAUUCAAACAAGUUCGCCUCUCUGAAGAGGAAGAUACUUGUGAAGGGACUACAUAUGUAGCUAAAUCAUUUAUUUCAGUAGUUUGUUGUGCUGAUUCAAUGUCAGUUGGCCCAACAACAUUGCGUGCAAUUGAAUUGCAGAUUUCACAAUUCCUGGAAAAAUAACUUCAAAUGAUUAUAUGGCUAAAAAGAACCAAAGAAGAUUACAAAAAAAAAACAGUGCAAAAAAGCUCAUAACCAUCCACAAUAUAGAGGUGUAUUGAGCUGCAAAAAAGUCAUUACAAUUUAACAUUUUUGUAGGAAGACGACUAUCUCCCUUGUCAAACAAUCAUCAUAAGAGCUGGAGUUGAGAAACUAGGAUGUCGAAGAAAGAAGAUGAUACAUCACCUCAACUAUCAAUUGUAAUCAUACUGAACAGCAAUCACUGGCCAGAAUGUAUUAUAAAAAACGUAACGAAUUAGCAAUUAUAGUAAUAAUGAAGAAGUUAUGGCAGAAGAUGUUAGGUUAGAGAAAAGGAAUACCUCCAUUUAUGGAAGGAGGAAGAUCCAAAGUAAGAGAUGUGGUCUUAACAUUUGCUAGUAAUUCUUUGGAUCCAUUGAUGACCAUGAAUGUUUUAGGACUUGGGGAAUAAGUAGAGCAUGUGAAGACAGACGCGGAAAAUGAUAAUGAAGACUUCCUUCCUCAAGAACAAUCUCCAGUUUGAUAAAAAAAAUGUAUGUUUUAGGACUUGGGGGAUAAGUAGCAUGUGAAGACAGACGCGAAAAAUGAAAAUGAAGACUUCCUUCCUAAAGAACAAUCUCCAGUUUGAUAAAAAAAAAUGUAUGUGUUAAAUUUCAGUAAGGAAAUAGAAACUAAAGAGCAAAAGCUUAUAAAAGACCAUAGUAAGAAGAAUCAACAAUGUACUUACAAAUCUGAAUUAUACCUGUCCUUGCUUUACUCUUUUUGCUUUUCAUUUUAUUCCAUCUAGCUUCUAUAAUUAACUUUUGUCUCUUUUUCCAUUAAAUAUAUCAUGAAUCUAUUUCCCAACAAGAACAAGACAUAACAGAAAGGGAAAAAAAACAUUAUUCUUACAGAACAUUCACUGAUUAUCGAAAGCACUCACUUGACCCUUCCAACGUUACAGAUCAUUUACUGACAUCAAAAGCACACACUUCCAACACAAGAAUCAUCAAACCAUAUCAUUGCAAAGAUUAAUAAAGUGAAAGAAUCUUGGACAUAACAUAAGCCCAAAAACAUCAUGUUGAGAUGUCAAUCAUCACAUCUAAUAUGCAGAACAUUUCUUCCUACUUAACCAAAGGUCUCAGGGAGGACUUCCUGACAUGAAUCCAGAUUUAAUCGAGCUCCAUUAUAUGUUUACGAGAUGGGGAUGAAUUUUUUUUAAAAAAAUCAUCUUAAAAGGUCACAUUGAUUAUAUAGGCAUCGUAAGUUCAAUAUUCACCAAAUCAACAACAACAAAAAUUCAAGAUUUGGUUUUUACUUACUUAUUUCCCUUGAUUUUGAACCAUGUUUCAGCACAAUGCUUAUGUGCAGCAGCCAAAUCAUCUUUACAUGAACAUCCCAAUUCAAUAGCAACCCCAUACUCAUUUCCACAGCUCACCAAACCCAAGUGACAAAUCCUACAAUCUCUUUCAGUUUCCCCUAAAUACCCCUUGCUUUCAUCAUUUCCAAUUUCUAUACCAAUUGAAUCAGCAGACUCACUGCCACGUGGACAGCUAUAAUCAUCUCCAUCAGCAGUGGAACAAAACUGAGAAUAACAAGAACCCUUGUCGGCAUCGGAAAAACUGACACUAACGGAGCUCCGGAGACUGUUACCGGAGCAGUCUAACUCCACCUGGGGUACCUCUAAUCUUUCCAUUUCAAUGACCCAGAAACAGAAAAUUCAUUAAUCCAUUUGAAAAAGCUUAAGUCUUGGAACUUGAAAGAUUUGAUUUUUAUGAUACACUGCAUGAGUUGAAGCUACUGCAUCUAUAGAUAUGAAGAAUUUAACGAAGUGGGGUGAUGAAUUUGGUGAUUUAUUAACUCAAAACAUCUUAAAUUCAGUAUAAAAAAAACAAAACAGAGAGAAGAAUAGAGAGAGUUUAGUAAAAAGUGCAAAGAGAGAGGGAAACGAAGAAAUAACGCAAAAAGCGAAAGGGUCAUGGUUCUGUUCUAAUAGCAGUGAGACAGGGGCCCUAACCCCAGAGAGGAUAGUGAGAUAUGAUGUGUGAUUAUACAGUAGUUGGUGGAGUUUAAAAUACAUAUAUAUUUGAUUGGGAACAAGUUAUUUUUUCUGAAAUCAACAAUAAGUUUUUUUAUUUUUAUUUAAAAAAAAAUACUGAAAUCUGAAACUUGGUCACAUGAGUCGAUAUUCUGAAACUGACAAAGUAAGUCUUACCAAAAUAUGACUUUUUGAGUUCACAUUCUUACUGAAACGUGAGUAUUCAAUGGACAUAACCACAGUAUUAUAGGUAUGGGCUAGUUUCGUAAAAUUAUCAAAUAACUUAUUUCAUAUGAAAAAUGGAAUAGCAAUUUCUGAAAUAACUUAUUUCAUUUUCCUCAAUUCUUUUUCCUUCUUGUUUCCCUAUUCUAUAUACAAUGAAAAACUGUUUUAACAUUAACUAGUGCAUCUAAAUCAAGAAAUGUAUUCAUAGUUAAAAAGUUUCAAUUUAUUUUAAGAUAGUAUUUGUAGGUCAAAAUAACAAUGUUGCCUCCCUAUUUCAGUAAGGAAUAAAUAGCAUUGGCUUGUUACCAAUUGUUCUCGUGACAAUUCUUAGGUUUGGAUUGAAUGAAGUUUAGCUAGCGAAGAAAAAGUACUUCAUUUAAUUUUUAUAAAAAAUAGCGUGUAAGGAUUUAUUGAGAAUUAUUUUUGUAGUUUUGAAAAUAGAGAUAAAGUUUGUGGAUAUUUUAUUUUAUUUUUCAGAUUUUACUUAUGGAAACGCAUUGAGUAGCUGUUAUGUUCAAGUCAAUUUUCGCAUAUUUUGACUAUUUCAUGAGAUAUUUGUUAUCUUUCAUCAACAAUAGAUAUCAAAUAAUUAGUUUGGUCCAUCAAAUUUAGGACAAAUGAAAAGAAAUCACUAUGUAUUUUUGUCCAUGAUGAAAUUUAAACAAAGAUCUUAUGAUUUUUAACUCAAUUUCCGACUAUUAAGUCAUACCCAAGGGUGUGAAGGUAUGACCUAGUGGUCAAAAUAUUUUUUUAUUUUUUCCAUGUUUGGUGGAUCAAAAUGUUUUAUAAAAUAUUUUUUUCGAAAAAAUAUACCGUAAAAAUUGAGAAAAAUAGCUUUUAGUUUAAAAAAUUAAUUUCAUAAAUGAUAUUUCAAGUUCAUUGUCUCCUCUUCUUGGUGCACCCAACACAUACAACGCCCACUUCAUUCCACACCGUCACCCCACUCCCAACCCAUCUUAUAAUAUUUUGCAACAUUGUACAAAUAUUAUCGAGAUAAUAUAUUUUUAAUUACAUACCAGACACUAAAAAAUAAGCAAGUAAAUUCAUUCUCAUAUAUAUUUUUUUUAAAUUAUUUUUCGAAAACAUUUUCCUUACCGACCGCAAGAUAUUACUUUCAUUUCAGCAGAAAAUAUUUUUGGUGCUUGAAAAAACACACAGAAAAUAUAGAAUUUAAAAUAAAAUUAAUGAUGUGUUUUGUGGUUUUCCAUUUUUAUACCAUUUACACACGGAAUGGUUGUUGUGAUAAGAUUAAAUUCAAGCAGGCAAAUUAAAUAAUGUACUUUUUUUCUUGUUAUUUUUCUUUUCCUCUUUUUUUUUUAAAAAAAACUAUAUCUAUUAUUGGAGUUGGAGGUGAGUGAUGACAAUCAUAAUUUAUCGCCAACCAUCGACCUUUCAUGUUUUAUUCUUUAAUUAUAUUUUUUUUUGAAAAAUACAAGAUUUUUUUUUAAAGAAGAAAUCAUUUUGGCCAGAAUUUAGUCAUAAUGAGAUUUUUUCUAUAUAAUUUUACUUUUUAAAAAAUAUUUUUAUCCAUUUAUCUUUAAUAUCUUUUACUAAAAAAAUAGAAAAAAAUAAAUUUAUUUUAAAAUAAAAAAGAUAUUAUAAUUUUUAAAAUUUUCUGGCCAAAUUUUAUGGUCAUUUCUCUUUUUUUUUUAUUCCUUGAUAAUACUCACUUCUUUAAAAAAGAAUGAUCUAAUUUGACUUGGAACGGUGUUUAAAAAAAGAAAUAAGACUUGUGGUUCUAAAUUAAAGUUAUGUCAAAUGUACCAAAUUGCUUUUUAAACUUGUGGUCCUAAUAUAUACAAAUGAUUUUUUUCAAAGUUAACGGAUACAUGUGCAUUAUCAUCCACCUAUAUGAGUAUGAUAUAUUAAUGAUGUUAAAUUGAAAAAAAUAUGUGAUUAUAUGCGCUUAAAAGCGAUUAAAUAUAAUAUUUUUACAUUUAAGUGCUUGUGGAGACGAGUGGGUGUUUGACUCACCGUACGAUGUCUUAUCAAAAUAAAUUGAAUUGAAUAGUAACUAUGCGUGCAACCUACGACGUAAAUAUUGUAAUGAUGUGCUUGGACAAUUUCAGAUCUUUGAAUUGUUUAAUGUUAAGUGACUCGAUAUCUUAAAUGUAAAAUAUUUGAAAUUAGUCUCUUCAUUGUUUCAUACAUAUGACUUGUAUGGUAACUUUAUGUUAUAAUGAUAAUUAUGUUGAUGGUGUUUGGCUGCUACUUGUUGAUGUCUCUUGAUUGAGUUGAUAUGCCAAUUAGUGUUGUUGUGACCCAAAAGGAAAGGUUGGGCUAACAUGAGAAUGUGAUGGUUGCCCCAAAAGAAAGGGUUGGGCCAAUAUUGCAAAAUGUUACUACUUUACUAUUGACACAAGAUAUUUAAAUGUUCACAACCUAGUGACCUAGAAAAAGAUGACGGGGUCAUGUAUAUAUAGUUCAGAUUUAAUGAUUUAUGUGAUGAAUGAAAAGUGUGCAAUCUAUAUUUGAUUACUUGUGAGUGCAUGGUCACAUGUUCGAAGGCUGCUUAAUUAUAUUAGUGGCUUAAUUAAGCCAAAUUUCAAUAGAAACGUUAAAUUUUGUUUUAUUUUUAAAUGUAGUUUAUUAUUGCUAAUCAAUUUGUCAAACUAGUAAUAACUCUGUCUUUUUAUUUGAGAAGUUCAAAAUUUCGUUGAAUCAUACUUAACUUUUUUUUAAAGAAAAUACUUAUAAGUUAUAACCUAUCAUUGAUUAGAAAAAUAAGGCAUAAAGACAACUGCUUUUUUUUCUUAAGCUUGUAUAGCCGCCCUGGACGUGUUUAAAGAAAGAUCAUGUUGUGUUAAUUAAAAAUGCUUCAUAUAUAUAUAUAUAUAUAUAUAUAUAUAUAUACACACACAAUUAUUUAAUAGAUAUGCAUAUACAUGCAAUUCGACAAAUAUACAUAUACAAUUCGUCUCUCUGUCCUCUCCCAGUCGCCUCUUUCCACCCUCUCCCAAUCUCGGUCGACACUCAUCUCUCUAUAACAUAGAGCUAGGAAUCAUAAUUAGCAAACUGUAGUUAUGAAGCGUAAUUAAGUUAUUUUUGAGUUGCUACAUGUGAAAGUUUCUCAUUUUGAAAUACCCCCAAGGGAAAAUUUCAUUUUGCAGGAUUCGAUUGUCCCAAAAUUUUUGAUAGUAAACAUGAAACAACUAGGAAAAAAGUAUAAAAAGAGAGAAUUGAUGCAAUCCCAAUAGAAUAAUAUUCAUUCGGAUUUUGCUGUAGAUUACAAAUUCAAGGGAAUUAAUUAGUAAUUCCCCUCACAUCCUUCUUUUUCACCAAUUAAAAACACAACAUUGACAAUAUAAUUGGAAAAAAAGAAAAGAAAAGUGUGUGCAGUAUGUUGUAGUUUUCAAAUUAAGAAAGAAAGAGGGGAUGGAGCUGGAGCAUCUUCGAUUGGACCUCCAUUGCUCGAUAACUCAAUUAUGGCACGAUGUGGAUUCGUCCUCUGUUUGUUGCAUAAAUCAGGCAAAUACACACCUGAAGAAUGGCGAAAUUGAUUUAAAUCAAAAUAACUAGUCAAUGUUUAAAAUAAAACGUUGUUACGUACCUUCACCAGCAGCUAAGUUGAAGUAAAGGUCUAUUAUGUUGGGACAAUGAUGGUAACAAUCAAGGGAACAAAGUUUUGAGGUAAAUUGUGAAUCAAGCAGAGCAUCAGAAGAGAUUCCAACAGUGUUUCUAUCGACGCCACAAGCAUCGACACAUUCCUCUGUCUCAAUGUGUUCCCUCAUGUUUGCAACAACCACCUCAGAUGUCUUGCAUUGGUACUCCACUUUCCCAUCCUUACCUGAUGAAUUUUCCAACAAACACCGUUUGCCUGAUGUCGAAAUCGCAAAUCCACAAACAUUUGUUGCCAAAUCCUCACAGAUAAAACUCCCUGAACAAAAACAUUCUGUAGAUUCAAACUAAUAAAAAAAAAACACACACAAGACCUUUUUUAUUAUGAAAUACCUACCUAGAGUAGUGCCUUGGAGAAAAACCAUGCUAACAAAGAAAAGAAUGAAACAUGAUCUCAUAAUACAAGUCAUUUCUAUUCUUUUCCCUUUCUUAUAGGAUAUGAUAAAUUUUCCUUGAUGAUCAACUCAAGGAAAAUAAUGCUUCUUCUUGAGAUGAAGGGGUUACUUGAAUAUAUAUAUAUAUAUAUAUAGGAAAAUAUUAGGAGGAAAAUGCGCUAUCUAAUUUUUGUUAGUUUAUUUUUUUAAUAUAUUUUCUUUUUGUGGAUACGAUUGAUCAUUUCAUUUUUUCGAGAAUUCUCAACUUGUAAGUAAUAAUGUAUAUUCCUUACUAAAUUUUGACCAAUUCUAUGAAAUUGGUAUGCACGAAGAGUUCUUAGGUACAAGUUAGUGGAGCCCACGCGUUUAUAUAUACUUUGUAGAGAAAAUCCACGAAAUUAUACUUAAGUUUACCGGUCAAUAAUACUAACCAAAAAAACUAAUCAACGCUAAGGGAUUUAAAAUCCAAAGAAACAGACACAUGAAAGUAGCUGAAGGAGGUUCGACAUCUACUAUAUAUACCUAAAAAUUAUUUUAAUCAUAUAAAAAUAAUAUUCUGUCAAAGGGAGUUGUCCGCCACUGACUAAGAAUAACAAUAAUGCUGAAUAUUUAUUUUUUAGUUUUACAUUCGUUUUAGACAUUUAAAAUACAUAACCUAAUUUUAAUUUUUCUUUAAUGUUUAAUCAUGUAAUUAAUAUAUAUUAGACCUAUUUUAGCAUGAUCUAAUAUUUUUAAAUUAUGAUCAAUUUUCAUUAUGACUUAUUAAUUUACAAUAUAUUUAUUUUUUACUAUUUCAUUAUUACUUUUUAUUGAAUAUUUUAGUGUCAUCACUCAUUUCGUAUUUUGUGUUAUUUUUUUAAGAAAUACCUUAGAUAGUUUUAUUUUGAUUGGACUAAAGAAAAAUAUUUGAAACACAAGUUAAUUAUAUGUUUGUAUGAAUACUUUAUCCGAAAAAAUCUAGAAACCCGAAAAAUUAUGAGAUUUAUUAGUUUGAUUUGAUUUAAAAAUUUAAAAAUUCGACAGAAAUAAAUUAAUUUAAUAUUUAAAAAAUCCAAAUUAAAAACCUCAAGAAAAAAAAAACGUUAAAGACUGAAAUCAAAAUUAAAAUUUAAACAUAUAGUGUACGUACAUGUUAUAGAAUAGUUCAAAGGGAUCUCUUGCUUGAAUUGAAGAACAAAGGAUAUACUCCUUUCCCCAAGAAAAAGCCUGUUGUGUCCAGAGGGGUCUUAUAGAAGGGUCAACAAUAUGCUUACGAAUGGAAACCAAAAUAAGCCACAAAAUUAUAAAAGUAACUAAAACAAGCCACUAUUUUAGUAAGUAACUAAAAUAAGCUUAGUGGAAGAAAAAGUUCCAUUAUAUUUAAUUUUCUAAACGUUUUUUGUUACUGCCAUAACGUUUACUUUUUAAUAUAUAACGGAACUUUUUCUUCCACUUUAUAAAGUGGAACUUUUUAUUCCACUUUAUAAAGUGGAAGAAAAUCUUCCAUUUUAUAAAAAAUUUCUUCCGCUUUAUAAAAAGUUACCUUUUCAUCUUCAUCGUCUCUUCCUUUCCUUUUCAUGGCUUCCAAAAAAAAUUCACUUUGAAGAUGGUCCCAAUCCGACAAUUUGAAGCGGCCCCAUACUAAACAAAUUGAAAUUUUGGAGUAGCACAACCUGACAACAUACAACUCAUAUUCGUUGCUUUAGGUGCAAAAAUAAGUAAGAUUGCAGCCUUAUACUUGUAGGAAAAUUUUAUCUUUUUUAAAAUGUGCUUUUGGUUUGAUUUACUUUCAACCUUAGACUUAAUUUAGUUUUGAUUAGGAAGACAUCUAAAUUCAUUGAUAGAAAACUUAAGGUUUACAUGUCCUAUAAAAGUUUCAAUAGUUACAAUACGUCAAAAUCAUAUGAAAUUAAAAUAAAAUAAAUUAAGAGGCAGAAUAUCGUAAAAAUAUAAGACAAAAUAAAUGAAUCUAUGUCAUAAAGUACACAAAAAUUCAUCUUUCUGUCUAGCUUUAAGUUGAAACAUUUUCUGAUUUUUUUUUUUUGGAAAAAUAUCAACAAAUCUUCCAUAAUUUUCCCAUAUGGUGGAUGUUAUUGUUUGACAAUUUUUGCACCAAUUAGGAAGGUGAGCAGUAAUUAGGAAGGUCAUGAUCAUCGAUAUUCACGAGAUCAAUGGGCUCAUCUUGUGUAGUAUUUUCCCUAUAUAUGUAAAAAAAAUAUAUAAAUAUUUGGCUCAUGCAAUUAACUUACUCAAAUAAAAAAACAAGUGUUAGACAUAUCGAUAAUCAUCUGCAUCAAAAGUAGGCGAGACAUGAAAAUUUGAGGAUGUUCCAACAUUUUUCGUCAUUUCAGAGUGUGAGGAUUGACCAAAAUAAUUAUUUAGUCCAUAACUUGGAGCAAUAUCUCUAUCUUGCUGAGGUAAACCGCUACAAAAUAUAUAAUAAUAAGAAUAAUAAAUAAUAUAAAUUAAUAAAUAAUUGACAAAAUCAACAAACAAUAAUUGAAAUAUAAUAAUUGAGCAUUACUGAUCACUAUCAUUGAUAGUUUUGUUUAAAUCAAAAUCAUAUCGAUCGAUAAGAGUAUUUUGAUGAUGAGUCAUUUUAGAAAAAUCAGUAGAUUGAGUUAUCGAAAAUCCAUCAAUGUUAUUGCCGUUUUCUAAUUAGGGAUGAACAUCGACUGAUAAAGGAGAACGUUGUUGACUAAUCUUAGGCUCCUUCCUAACAUAGAUUUCAAGUAUUGUUAACUUGAUUUGAUCUAUAUAGUCACUUGGAACCCUUAAAAAGUCGGUCAACGAUUCGUCAUUAUAGAUAAUUCACUCUCCAAAAUUUACUUGUUCUUGUGAUAAAAAUGAAGUAGGGUAUUUUUCGGCUAUAAUCAAAUUAUAAUCGUACUGUUUAUACCCAUUCUUUAUAAAUUGAUGAAAUAAAUUUAUGAUAUCGAUAAUUUAUUGGAUAUUUAGCAUUGUAUUUGGGAGGACAAUUAUAAUAGAUGGAACUUUCGUCAUGUAUAAUUUCGUCAUCUCAAUAAAUUGAAACUUUAACUUUAUGUGUAGAAGAUAUUUUUUUUAGAUUGAAAUGAACAAAUAUAGAAGACUUUAUGUUGUAGGUGCUAUCAACUAUGUUAUAAACGUCCUUAAAUAGAUUUUUCAGAAUAAAAUAAUAAAAACACAUAAUGAAAUAUUUUUUUUCGUUUUAAUGACAUAUCAAAUCAAUAUAAUUUAUAUGACAACAUUGAAAAGCUUCUUCAAGACGUGAAAAAUAUUCUUCUUAUAAAGUGUAAUAAAAAGUUCUCCUUUAUAAAGUGGAAUAAAAAGUUCCACUUUAUAAAAUGGAAUAAAAAGUUCCACUUUAUAAAGUGAAAGAAAAAACUCCACUUUAUAAAGUGUAAGAAAAAGUUCCGUUAUAUAUUAAAAAUAAACGUUAUGAAACUAACGGAAACGUUUAAAUUAUUGGAUAUAGUGGAACUUUUUCUUCCACUAAGCUUUUUUUAGUUACUAACUAAAAUAGUGGCUUAUUUUGGUUACUUUUAUAUUUUUGUGGCUUAUUUUGGUUCCCAACUCUACAAAUGGACACAAGUUACCCCUAUUUUCUAUUUCUAAAUUUUAAGGGAAAUUAGGGGUAAGUUUAUUAGUUUAAGUGGUAUAAGUGAAAGUCUAUUGACCUGUGUGGCAUAUUACGUAACAUUCAAGUGGCGUUUAAUAUAUUAUGUUAAUGAGAAAGAUAUUUUUAUCUUAUAGUUUGACGGAAAGGAUAUAUUUGAGCCGAAAUAUAAUUUAAGAGUAUAUUUGAGCUAGUUCAAAAAGUAUCUUUUACACUUUUUUGUAUAUAUUUAUACAACUAAUAGAAUAAAUUUAUUUCAAAAUUAUCUAAUUAUCUCAAAUCAAACAUACAAUAAAUUAAUACUCUCUCCGUCUCAUUUUAUGUGGCAAUAUUUGAUGGGACACGAAUUUUAAGAAAUAUAAUGAAGACUUUAAAAUGUUUACCUAAUUAUCUUUCAAAAAAAAGUAACUCACUUUUCUCUUUCCUCAUAAAUGUGUUAAAGUACCAUCUUUAAAAUUAAAUGAUAUUAACAAGGCUAAUUUUUUUUUAUAUAUUUAAAUACUUAUCAUAUAAUAAAAUAUAUGUAACAUUCUUCUUAGAACUGAUCAAAAAGAAAAUGACGUACCAAUGGUGGGUAAAUUUGAAAAGCUUAAUAACCACGAAUAGAAGGGGAAGUUCCAAAAAGAUGGAUAAGAAGGACCCUCCCUAAUACAUUUUGUUAGAAAGAAAAAAUAUAUAUUUAGACAUGCGUUACUUUAAAUAACAAUUUCUUAUAACCACAAAAAUAUGGUGUCAUGAAUAAGAUCAUAACUUCUUGUCCAGUCAUAUAACAUUAAAAAGAAAUAAUAUUUGUACAACAAUUGAAAUUAAGAUUAGACAAGAGUUUUUCGAUAGAAAAUUAUAGUUGCAACUUUGAGGUAGAUCACAAGUCACUAAGUGAUGAUGAUUCAAAAAUGGAAGUAGUAGCAACAACUUGCUUCUCCCGCUUUUUCUUUUUCCAACACAAAAGGAUAUGCACAAGAAACAGCAUAGUAAAAAGAAAAUGUAAAGACAAGGGAGCUAAUGUGAAGUGCAUGGUUUAGGAAAAAAGUAGUGCUGCAGAAGAGGCUAAGAGACAGAGUAGUAGUGUGUAUAUGCUGCAGACCUUAACUAGCUGGCUGUUGAAACAAGAACAAGAUGGAGUUAUUGAUGCUAUUGUUCUUUCGAGAAUUUCGACGGCUUGUAAGCUGAUUGCUUCUCUGGUUCAAAGAGCAGGCAUUUCCAAACUUACUGGAGAGGAACAAAAGAAGCUUGAUAUUGUCUCUAACGAGGUUCGUUAGUUUAACCGUUUGGAUUCUUACUGAAUUGCAGAGCCUAGCUCCUACUUGAAGGUUCUUGAAUUUUUGAACCCGACAUCUUUAGUUAGUUAAGAGUAAAGAGAUACCAAUUAUCUCACCAAACUUGGGAGGUAGCUCAUUCUUGUAGUACACCUACUAGGACUUUCACUAAUUCCAAAUCAAUAAGAUCUGUUCUACUAGUGUGAUCUUUAUUUGUUUGCAGUAAGAUGUUAAACAUAGGAAGAUUCAAGAUAAACAUUUAUUACUCUAGUAUGGCAUGUUGAGCUAGAUAGAUGGUCAUGGCUUGGCCAGGUAUUCUCUAAUUGUAUGAGGGCAAGUGGUCGGACAGGGAUCAUAGCAUCGGAGGAAGAGCAUGUACCAGUGGCAGUAGAGGAGAGUUACUAUGGAAACUAUAUCGUGGUGUUUGAUCCUCUUGAUGGAUCAUCAAAUAUUGAUGCUGCUGUAUCUACUGGCUCUAUCUUUGGUAUAUACACUCCAAAUGACGAUUGUCUCCUUGAUCUUGAAGAUUCUACCACGGUAUGUACCUAUGUAUCCUCUCUUAUCGAGAGUCAGGAGAAGUAGGAUCUUUUAUUGUCAUACUUGUUAUAUAUGCUAGAUAAUUGCUAUAAUCAUUUUUGUCUAUCUAGUUAUGAAUUCUAUCAGAUUGAUUGACUUUCUGGAGCCUAAUUUUUCGCCUGAAUAGUUAACCAUAUCGAAUACACAUGUCCAAACUUGCAGCUUGACAAUGUGGAGCAGAGGUGCAUAGCGAAUGUGUGCCAACCAGGGAACAAUCUUCUAGCAGCAGGGUACUGCAUGUACUCGAGCUCAGUGAUCUUCGUGCUCACGUUGGGAAAUGGUGUUUAUUCUUUCACCUUGGAUCCAAUGUUUGGAGAGUUCAUUCUGACUCAAAAAAACAUCCAAGUAGCUAACGCUGGAAAGAUCUACGCGUUCAAUGAAGGAAACUACCAGCUAUGGGACGACAGAUUGAAGAAGUACAUCGAUCAUUUGAAGGACCCCGGUCCUAUUGGUAAGCCUUACUCAGCCAGGUACAUUGGCAGUUUGGUUGGUGAUUUUCAUAGGACUCUUCUAUAUGGUACCCGAGAGACAAGAAGAGCAGGAAUGGGAAGUUGAGGCUUUUGUAUGAGUGUGCCCCGAUGAGCUUUAUUGUGAAACAAGCCGGUGGCAAAGGAUCGGAUGGCCAACAAAGAAUUCUUGAUAUUCAACCAGUUGAGGUGAGAACAAACUGACUGCUACAUCUUCUGUCAACAAGCAAAGUAGGUUAGUUAAUUUGUUUUCUUCCGUUUCUUUCAUUGCAGAUACAUCAACGCGUUCCAUUGUACAUUGGAAGCAUAGAAGAAGUUGAAAUAUUGGAAAAGUACUUUUCUUAAUACAGAUGUGAACUGAAGGGGUUAUUCAUUAGUUUUUUAACUACUUUAGUUUUGUAAGCAAACAAAACACAUGAAGAGCUGUAUAUUUGUAUAUUACUUGAAAGAAAUUCUUCUCACAAGUCUAAGCGCAAAGACUUGGAUGAUUAUAUAGUCUUGACAAGCUUUGCAGUGAUUCAACUCACUAUACAAUUGGAAUGGUGCUUAUAUGCCUUAUAUUCUUAAAAUUUUACCACAUAUUCUUAAAAUUUUACAAGCAUCGAGUAGCCUCGAGGUCGAGGCUCAAUGGACUGAACUGGAAUAGUGUUGGCGAGGACUCCAAUUGAGACAGAAGCAGAAAUAGAAUAGGUUGAGAUAGUUUACAGCUGUUGUUUUUUGUUCGUUUCUUAUUUCCUUUUUACUAGCUUAGUUUUUGAAAAGCCCAAAAAGGUGUCGUCUUCGUGUGACAUAUAGGUCAUGGUUUCAAAACAUGAAAAUCAAUCACUUAUACUUAGAUCCGGAUAAGCUGCGUAAAUCACCCCUAGGGGUCGCGUAAACACGAGACUGAACUACCCUUUUAUGUAUCCGAAGUGUGAGAGACUCCUUUAGCAUUGAAAUAAUGGCUCUUUUUGUCUUUCACACUACAAUAAUCAAUAGAGCAAAAAUAUGACUUUUAUUAACUUGUAGUUUUCCCAAGUUUCUCUUUUUAAUUAAGUCCAAAGGUUGCAUCUUUUCUGUUAGGUUUGUAGGGACACCCCAUUUUGAUCCCUUGAAUUUUCAGCCACAUAUGAUCUUUUGAUCUUCAAGCCCUUUAGAUAUUGUUGUGAAAAAAUUAUGUUCACACAAUUGUCAAAAGGAAAAAAGAUAAGCAGGCAACCCCAGUAGUCAAUUCAGAGAUGGGGAGAAAAUGGCUGAAGCUCUUCUUGGAACCAAAUGCUCAAGUUCUUCUUCCAUUUCUCAUCUCUCUCCUAAUUUCCAUCUCUUCCCCACCAAUAUCAAGAGAUCACAACAUCUCAUCCAUGGAAAUUUCAGUCCUAAUUCAAGAAUCCGCCGCGAAGCAGCGAGCUUGGAAGGAGCAAAAACAGCUCCAGCACAGAUCAAGAAACCGAAAAACAGAUAUGAAAUGGUAAACUUGACAACAUGGUUGUUGCAGCAAGAACAAGCAGGCAACAUAGAUGCAGAAUUAGCCAUAGUUCUUUCGAGCAUAUCACUAGCCUGCAAGCAAAUCGCAUCGCUUUUACAAAGGUCUAGUAUUGUAAACAUUACUGGAACUCAAGGCACUGUUAAUAUCCAAGGUGAAGAUCAGAAGAAACUUGAUGUUAUAUCUAACGAGGUUUGUUGCUUUUUUUUUUUUUUACCUUCUAACACUUAGACUAUUGUGAAGUUUAGUGCACUGAUCAGUAAAAAUGUAAUCUUUGAGUGUUGUAGUUGUUCUGUAAUUGUCUAAGAUCAAGUGGGAGGACAGGGAUAAUAGCAUCAGAGGAAGAAGACGUACCCGUGGCAGUUGAAGAAACUUAUUCUGGAAAUUAUAUUGUAGUGUUUGACCCCAUUGAUGGAUCUGCUAACAUUGAUAUUGCCUUAACCACUGGAUCAAUUUUUGGAAUUUAUGGUCCAGAUCAGCAAUGCCUUGUAGACAUGGAUGAUGAUUCCACGGUAAUCUCGCAUUUCUAACAUGAAACUUAAGUACAAGUUGUGGUCAGCUAUAUGAAUCAUCAUUGUUCAUGUCACUCCAUUUUUUGUACUCAUUUCAGUACAAUGUUGCAUAAAAUUUUAAAUUGAAAAGCAGUAUAUUUCUUUUGGAUUUUCAGAUUGAUCAAGCCAGGGAGAAGUGUAUAGUCAGUGUUUGUCAGCCAGGGAGCAAUUUAGUAGCAGCAGGAUAUUGUCUUUAUUCAAGUUCAGUGGUCUACACACUCUCGGUAGGAAACGGAGUAUAUGCAUUUACUUUAGACCCUGCAUAUGGAGAAUUUGUUUUGACACAUGAAGAUAUCAAAAUACCCAAGGCUGGAAGGAUCUAUUCUUUUAAUGAGGGAAACUAUGAUCUCUGGGAUGAGAAAUUGCAGAGUUAUCUUGACCACUUAAAGCAACCAGGUCCUAAUGGCAAGCCAUACUCAGGCCGUUACAUAGGUUGUCUCGUGGGUGAAAUCCACAGAAUGUUGUUGUAUGGAGGGAUAUAUGGAAAUCCUAAGAACAAGAACAGCAAAAAUGGGAACUUGAGGCUAUUGUACGAGUGUGCGCCCAUGAGCUAUAUCAUAGAACAAGCUGGUGGCAAAGCAACAGAUGGCAACCAAAGGAUACUGGAAAUCAUGCCUGAGCAGGUAAAUUUUAAAAUUUACACUCAAGGAAAACGUAAAUUAAGAUCCUUUAACAGUAUUUAUAGUUGAAGAUUGAAUUUAAAGUGUAGGUGGUGUGAUAUAAUGAUUAAAAAAACCUUAAUUACUUUUAUUUGAUGCAGAUACAUCAGCGAACACCUAUUUUUAUUGGAAGCCCAGAAGAAAUUGAGAAGCUGGAAAAGUACCUUGACUGAGAACUAUCUCAUUUGAUGUAUCAUCUGAUGCGAUACAAGUCAUGUACCAUAAGCAUUUUACUUUAUCAAACGACAUAAUGUACCUAAGAGGCUUUCUAUCUUACUCAAAUCCAUCUUAGAUUUACAAAUGAAUGAAUAGUCGAAAUUUAGAACUUAAAAAGGUAAUUUCUAUUGGAUUUCAUAAAUAAGGUCAGCUGUGAUGAAUUCUAGCAUGUCAGCCUCCAUAUCCAUCUGUUGAAGAAAUUAGUCAUUUCUUGCUCACAAGUUCUAAUGUCUCGAGCUUCUGUUACUCUUAACUGCAAAGAUGUAAAAUGAUACAGAAUCGAUUAGUCUUAUGGCAUCUAUUAGCUCUUUGUACAAAACAAAAAGUAAAGCUGAAGGUGAAGCAACUACCACUUACCAGGACUUAAAAGUUGGACACAUUUGGUAACCGAUUUCAUAGUUUUCACAGUAUCUGAACCUGAAGAAUCAAUGAUAAAAUUGAAAUGUAUUCACAUCACUUUCACAUGAAAGAAGUUUACAUUCAAUUGUUCAGUCAAGAAUUCUCUUUUACCUUGUAAACUUGUAUCCUUCUCUGAAAAGACUUGCGAUGAAAGCUGUGAUGUUAUUUGGUUUCCGUCAAUGUUGACAUUUCCAGAUUCAUAUGGUGACCUGAGCAUUAAACAUUAGAUGGAAACUCAGAUUCUGUAGCUAAGUUGGCAUUAUAUGAAGGAUGCAACAAGAAAUCUUUCUUCGUGGACAGAAAAACAAGAAAUUAUACCCUGAAAAGGAAUCUGGAAAAAAGUCCAGUUUGUCCUGGCAAGAAUGAUCAACCCCUUGUACAUCAAUGUCGAAAUGAUGCAGCAGCUCAGCAAGAUUGAAAUUCUCUCCCAGAAGACCAAAGUUAGAUAAAUCCAAGUCAAAAGUAUCUCCUUCCUUCUCAGAAUCAGAUGUUAAAAUCCUGUCAGGAACUUGUGGUACCUCUGAACUACUUGGAAUGUCUGAGGCAUCAAAAUCUAACCUACCUUUUACUUGAUCUCUCUUCACAGACCUAUUCAAGUUUGCAUUAACUGGUGAGGAAGUCGAAACACGGUGAUUUCUUUCUAUGGAAUAGUAUGCUAUUUGUUUGGUGGGGGUCACUUGAAUUGUCUCUGCAGAGAUUAUCAUGUGGUUAGUCGACAUUAGAUGAGAGGGAGCAGCUUCUUUGAUGGAAGUUGCUGUUGAAUAAAUUCCAAGCGGAGAUAUAGAUUUGUCAGUUUGGGAUGAAGAUUGUAUUGGAGGUGUCUUAGGGUCAGAAUAAUUAGUUAGAGGGGAUUGAAUGGGGUGCUCAGACAAACACUUCGCAUUGUUAGAUCCUUGGACUGAUGAAUUUUUGUUAGAUCCUUGGACUGGUGACCUCUUAGGUUCAUCAAUGGGAUCUGAUGGCUGAACCGCAGAGCUCUUCAAAUUAUUGUUAUGCUUAUCAUCUUGUGGCAUUGAACUAGCCCCUGCAAGGAAAACGGUACCAACUACUCAGUGAUCACCAUAAUAUUAAGACAUGAGAUACACAAAGUCUAACACCAAUAAAAUUUACCUUUAAGUGACAACUGAUUUGUGGGUGACCGUGUACGAUAUUUCUUGGCAGCUAUGGAAGCAUCUGAAACAACAUCCUUGGACCCUUUCCUUUUUGAAGUUGUCGGGACGGAACUUGGAGUAGAAAAUUUCAUGGUAUCAGCAGCAGCUUUGGAAGGCAUUGAUGCUGACAUAAGAGCUGGACUAGUGUAUGCAGAACAAUAACCUGAUAAAUUUGUAACGAUUUAAUGUCACUACCAGAUAAUUUGUCCAAAAUGAUUGGUCUAAGAAUAGAUUAUCGCCUGAUUCUUGCAUUUAAGGAAUGGUAUAGGCAUUCAAAAACAUGGAAUAGUAUAUCUUUCAGGGAAUAAACAAUAGAUCAUUAUCGUAUCAUGGUAAUGACACAAACUCAAUCCUGUCUGGUUAAUGAUGAUGCUACAUCCCUAUAUUUUUCCUUGGAAGUCCUGCAACUCUAUCUGUGAAUAUAUGUCCACUAUGCCACAAUGUAAUAUAAGCGCCAUCGACUGAGAGCCAAAUUUAAUAAGACAUCAAGUAAAUGUUUUACAGCUUAUUGCAAUUGCCAUUUGGCAAUCACAUCAGUGUACAUAAAAAGUAAGUUUUGAGUGGUUAGGUAGGUUGUUUGUGUUGAAAUUAAAUGUUAGUUGAUUGAAAGAGUCAAAAGAAGAAGAAAAUCCAACUUAAGUUCAUCAGCCAAAACCAGAAAACUACUGGUACAAGCUAAAUGCAAAGCCAAUAGGAAACAUCAUGAUGUGUGCACCUACAACAUCGUCCUUCAAGUUAAUACAGAGACUGUAAAGGUCUUAAGGAUUUGCAAGUACAAGGAUUUCUCCAUAUCUUGUAGCUCCAUCGAUGUCAAAAUUGGAAAUUUGAGACUCAAGGUUAUAUAUCUUAAGGUCUUAAGGAUUUAUAUAUAUAAAGUUGGGAAUCUGGGACCUAAGUGUAUUUUUGUUGAAAAACAACCUUAAACAAAUGCCGAAGUAUGAAGAGAAAUAAUAGUUCUUCCUGUCUGAGACCUUGCAGCUCAACUAAUGAGUACUCAACGACCCAGAAAAAAUUAGAAUAUGUUUUGUUGGAUACAAUCAUUAUAGGCAAAAUCUUGGAGCUACUGGCUCUCACAACUACUGAGCAAACCCCAUGAACAAGUUUUCCGUAGUCUUAGGCUUAUUCGUGUAGUUUCUUUUUCUUUUUUUUUUGAUAUCUAUAACCAUAUAAUAAUGCUGCUAAUGUUUUUCCUCUUUUGUAUGUUCCAAUAUUGGUUUUCAUAUCAGUUGUCAUGUUUUCUUCAUUUCAUAAGAGUGUCUCUAUCUCCAUAAGAUUUGCUUAUGCUUUACCUCCCUAGACUUCACUUUAUGGCCUAUGGAUAUGUUGUAAAGAUCCCAUAUAACAAACACAUAGACAAGUAUAUAUAGGAUAACUAGCAAUAAAAAAAGAAGACCAGAAAUGAAACCUGGUGAAGACUGUUGGAGCAAAGGUCCUGAAGAAGCAGGAACUAGGGCAGAGGGCAGCAGAUUUGCACUUGCAUUAUAACCAUUCAUAACUUGUUGCAUCCCCCUUAACAAAUUCUGAACCUGCAAUUUCUCUUGCUCUAAAAAAACUUUUUGCUCUUUCAAACAUAUGUACUCAUCCAACAUUGCUCCUAAACUCAAUAAACUCCUCGGCGCCUGUCACAAAACAAUUUAUUCAAGUAAUACAUUAAAACAUUAGAGAUUCUAAAAUGAAUCCAUAUGUAUGUGCGCGAAUUUAUUACCUCCUUGACAGGCAAGUUGGAUAGGAUAUGAGAAGCUUCAGAGCAGAAAGUGGAGCGGGUUUCGGAGAAAUCGUUAUCGGAGAGGUAACGAUCAACGAUGAAAGCAACUUGGAUAGGAGUUACUUUUCCUUUGCCUAUAUUUUCAGCUUUGGUUUUCACUUUCUUCAUCUCUCAGAGUUUUUUUUUUUUUGAGGGGGGAAUUGCAGUGUGUUGUGAAUAAGGAGGUAAAGAGCAGGAGAAUGUGAUGAGGGACUUUAUAACAAGCGCGGGACUAUUUCAAAAGUUAAGAAUACUUUAAAAAAAUGAAAAGGCGGUAAAACAACAUAAGAUUUUUAUAUAUUUAGAAAUUAUUACAUAUCAAAAAUAAAUAUUUUACUUUAUUUGUCUAUCUUUAGCAAAUUAAGAAUUCUUUGUACAAUUAAAGUUACAGUAAUCAAAUUCAAAUUUAUAAAUAUGAUUAAUAACAUUAACUUGGUAAAUUAUACGUGUAAUUUAAGUUUUCUUAACGUGAGGAAAUAUAAAACAUAUAUAUUUUCUAAUCUUUUUUACUUGACUUCCUUGUUAAAACUAGGUUGUUGAAAACCUCAUUAAAGAGUAAUUUUGAUUGAAAAAAAUUAAUUACUUUAAAUUAAUAAAAUGAAAAAAUCAUUUAUUUUGAACCAUAAAAAAAUUGCAGCAAGGUGUAAACCCUCUUCAAUUCACCUUUGACUAGCUCCAGUUUUGGCCAUAUUUUAUAAAAUAAAGAAAAAUUGUUCAUGACAUUUGAUUUGUCUUUUUCUUUAAAGAAAAUCAAAUUCUAAAUGCUAGCCCGAAUUACUUUUUGGAUAAAAUUUCAUUUUCAUUGACAAUUUUAAUUUUUUUCGAACAUUUUACGUGUUCAAACACAACUUUUAAUUUUGAAAUCUAUUUUUCCAAAACAACUUCAUAAACUCAAAAUAUACUAUCAAAAACUAGCUCAUACACUACUUUAUUUAAGUGUUUGACAAUUAUUUUCAUGGGAAAAUCCGAUAGUAAAAUAACAAUGCAUUAGAUAUCCUGAUUAGGUAGAACUGAAUGGUUAGAUUGUACACAUCCAUUGGAUUAGGUCCCUGACAGAAUAAUAGUGCGAAAAAUGAAUAACUCAAAGUAAAUUAGGUACUAGGAUUUUACAAAGAAACCUCCUUGCUCAAAGGGAGAUGAAAAUCACGACCUGUACUCGCGGGAUUCAACCCAAACUCCAUUUCACUCAAAACGAAAAAAGCUUCAUAUUACAAACUUUUGCAACAUAUGAAUUAAACUCUUAAUCCCUUUCACUUUACUGUAGCAACUCUACUGCAAAGGAAGCUAAACUAUAACUCUAUUGUCCACUAAACCAACUAACCCUAGUUGAUCUAGACUUCAAGAACCCAACAAGGCUAACUCUAGCCACCAACUCAGAUCUCGAAAAUAAGAGCAUAAACAAGCAGCAACUUUGUUGCACCAAUACAUCAACUAAUUCUUAUUGACACUCCUAGGCAACUCUACCCAAGAGAACAUCAAAACAAUGAUGUAAAGAGGCUAGACUAAAACAUACAUGAUUCGACUAACUAACUCUAAUUAAUACGACUCAAACUAAAGACUCCUUUAUAACUUAGGAGUAGAUUUACGAACCCUUUGGAUGGAGCCAUUAGCUGAGUCUGUUGUUAUGAGAAGACAUGCGCCAGCCACAGUAGAGUUAGCAGUUGUGACAGCUUGUCUUUUUCAUGUACAGAGUCUUUCUCCAAUCAUGUCCCUUGUUAGAACCUGAAGUUUAAAACUUAAAAUCAGCAUCUAAGCAUUAACAAAGUAUAUCAUCCUUCAGUGUCAAAAAUCGAAACAUGGCUUCUCCAUGUCACUGAACAAAAUAGGUCCUACAGUGUCUAAGAAUCCCUUUUUUAAUUACAGAUAUGCUAAUAAAUUUGUCCACAUCUCUCCUUUGGUUAUGAGAUAUGUAUUUAGCAUAAUCAUAAUAAACAAGGCUUGCAAAUGUAGAACCCAGUAAUUGGCUAAAUGAACUUUUGAGGUAAGAAUUCCAAAGCAAUUUCAUGGAGCUGGCUCGGUCAGUCAAAACUAAACCAACUUUGACCUGCAUAUCAAAGUAUUAAACAGCAACAACUCAUGAAGAAACACAUAUAAAUAAACAAGAAGAGAUGAAAUAGAACAAAAUAAUACUAGUAGUAAAAGGCAAUACAGAGAGCCUACUCUAAAUAGCAAUAGAAACUUAAUAGUCACAAAACACCAGAAUAAUUAAGUAACAACAACAAAAAAUAUUACAGGAUAGCACUCGCUAUCAAGACACAUUACAUUACAUUGCAAUUGCCGAAAGAACAUCAACAGGAAGUUGGGGUUUAAUUCUCAUUGACAUCCUCUUCAUCUUCCUCCUCGUAAUAUUCUCCCUCAUCAUCAGCAGUGGCGUCCUGGUACUGCUGAUAUUCAGAUACCAGAUCAUUCAUGUUACUCUCUGCCUCAGUGAACUCCAUCUCGUCCAUUCCUUCCCCAGUGUACCAAUGCAAGAAAGCUUUUCUCCUAAACAUAGCAGUGAACUGCUCGCUCACACGCCUAAACAUCUCUUGAAUAGAUGUUGAGUUCCCAAUGAAGGUAGAUGCCAUUUUAAGCCCGGUUGGUGGGAUAUCACAAACAGUUGACUUGACAUUGUUUGGAAUCCAUUCAACAAAGUAGGAAGAGUUCUUGUUUUGCACAUUGAGCAUCUGUUCAUCCACUUCUUUCGUGCUCAUCUUACCCCUGAACAUAGCAGAGGCAGUCAAGUAUCUUCCAUGACGUGGGUCAGCUGCGCACAUCAUGUUCUUGGCAUCCCACAUUUGCUGUGUAAGCUCUGGCACUGUCAAAGCCCUGUAUUGCUGAGAACCACGUGAAGUCAGUGGUGCAAAACCAACCAUGAAGAAAUGGAGCCUAGGGAAUGGAAUCAGAUUCACAGCUAACUUCCUAAGAUCAGAGUUCAACUGUCCAGGGAAACGCAAGCAACAGGUGACACCAGACAUUGUAGCUGAUAUCAGAUGAUUUAGAUCUCCAACUGUUCCAUGAGAUUAAAAACAGAUGAUUCCAUGUGAACCCGAAAAGAACUGACAACAACUAACUAUACAAAAAUCAAACAGAUGAGAGCGCAAACAAUGACUUACAGCUUGGGGUGGUAAGCUUUAGGGUUCUGAAGCAGAUAUCGUAUAGAGCCUCGUUGUCGAGAACCAUGCACUCAUCAGCAUUUUCAACCAAUUGAUGCACAGACAAGGUAGCAUUAUAAGGCUCAACAACAGUAUCAGAAACCUUAGGUGAAGGGAAAACGGAGAAGGUAAGCAUCAUUCUGUCUGGGUAUUCUUCUCUGAUCUUUGAGAUCAAAAGCGUACCCAUACCAGAUCCCGUUCCUCCACCCAAUGAAUGGCACACUUGAAAUCCUGAAAAUUAAACACAGAAAACGUCAAAAAAAAAUGCACAGAUGUACAAAAACAAAAAUGCCUAAACACAAACCUUGAAGGCAGUCACAGUUCUCAGCUUCCUUACGAACAACAUCGAGAACGGCAUCAAUCAAUUCAGCACCUUCGGUGUAAUGUCCCUUGGCCCAAUUGUUACCAGCACCAGAUUGUCCAAAAACAAAGUUAUCAGGACGGAAGAUCUGUCCAUAAGGACCAGAUCUAAUACUGUCCAUGGUACCAGGCUCCAGAUCCAUAAGAACAGCCCUAGGAACAAACCUUCCACAGGUAGCCUCAUUGUAAUAGACAUUAAUUCUCUCAAGCUGGAGAUCAGAAUCACCGCUGUAACGUCCGGUAGAAUCAAUGCCGUGUUCCGCACAAACAACUUCCCAAAACUUGGCACCAAUUUGGUUACCGCAUUGUCCACCUUGAAUAUGAAGGAUUUCACGCAUUUUCAAACUCAAAUCUCAACAAAAUAUGCAGAAAUUAAAAUGAGUAAAUCUGGAAUACAAAUGAAAUGAGAAGAAAAAAUACAGUAAAGCGUUUUAGGGUUUGUAAUAUAGUGAAUUUAAGGCUCAGAUGAACAAAUUUUGAAAUUUGAAAAUUAAGGAGACCAGCUGGACCAGGACUUCACACUGACGUUGAUUUUUUUUUUUUUCUCUUGGAGCUUGUCCAUUUUCGAUUUAAAAUAUGUUCAAUUAUUAAGAAGAUAUUAUUAUUAAUGUUUCAAUUUAAUUAAUAAGAAAUAUUUAUAUGACUUUUACAAUAAUUUAUAAUAAUGUAACUUUACAAAUGCUUAUGAAAUUGAAGGAGUAAUAAUUAUAAUAUGAAAAGAAUUAUACAAGUGUAAUAUAGGAAUAAGAUUCUCACUUUAGAUUUUGACGUGUUGUAUAUUCAAUUUUAUAAUUUUAUUACUAAUAAAAUAAGGAAAAAUAAACUUUUCAACAAAUGAUGAUUUUUAUGUGAGAUAAGUAUUAAUAUUCAAUGAAGAAAAAAGGAUUAUCAUUAAUCAUUAUUAUUUAAGAAAAAUCAUUAUACCAAUAAUAAAAUUAUGAUUUAAAGCAAAAAAAAAAAAUUAAAACGCCAGAGCGUAUACAUUUUUAUGUUCAGGGACUUAUGUCUCGAAUUUUAGGACUUACAUCUUAUGAAUUUACAUUUUCAAUUUACGCUUCAGAACAUUUUUUAUGUCUCGCCGUGAGUAGCAUAUUGAGAAUUUAAAUUUAAAAUUUACCAUAAGAAAUUUAUUAGAAAAUUGAAUUGCUUUUACAUACUACUAUCAAUAUUUUAAUAAAUUUUAACAUUAUUCUUUUAUAUAUCAUGUCAAAAUUAUGAGUUCAAAUAGAAUGUAACCACAAAACUAUAUCCAAACCCAUACAGAAUUAUUAACCAAAAAAAAUAACGAUAGCAAAGAUUCUUGAUUGGACUUGGUCACACGUUACAAAGGCAGUUGCAAUUAAAACUCUAAUUCGAUAUCUCUAAAAUAAAAAUACUUUUUACUCAUUACUGUCUUUGUUGAUAGCAUUCCUAUGUUAUCAUGUUAUGUCUAAAUAAAAUCAACCUUUGAUGGGAUUUUAGUAAAACAAAUUUAUAUAACUUCAUGUGUUUGAUAUAUAAAUAAAAAAUAUAAUUACAUAAUAUUUUUAUAUAAUUUAAAUUAGGGAUAAUUGUAUGUAAUAACAAAUUAAUAACCUAAAAUAAAUAGAAUAGCUAUUGUUUGAUUUAAUUGUGUUUUAUAACAAACGUUUGCCCGAGUUUGUCAGUCUUCUCUCUCCGAAAACUCCCGCUCGCCACUCUUCCAUUCUCGCUCGCCAUCUCCCAUUCUCGCUCACCACUCUCCCUCUGCGUCACUCUCCCUUUAUACAACAAAAGUGUAUAAAUUGUGUUUUGUUUUUAUAAAGCGAGAGAAAAUUGUAUCUACAUAUACAAAAAUAUAUAUCUCCGUGCUAUACACUUAAGUAUACAAUUUACAAAUAUUUUACUUCGAUUCAAUUGUAUACAAAUACAAAUUUUAUACAAAUAUUGUAGAAAAAAAAGCCAGCGAAUUAUAAUUAUAUAAUUGCAGUGAAAUACAAUUUUCUCUCGCUUUAUACAAUAGAAGUGUAUAGAUUGUGCUUAUCUUUUUAUAUAAACUAAGCCAACAAAUUAUACAAUUUAGGCCAGCGAAUCAUACAAUUGUAUAUGUAUAACGAGACCAGCAAAUUAUACAAUUUAAAUCAGUGAAUUAUACAAUUAUAUAUAUAACAAAUUAUACAGUUAUAUAUUUGCUAUGAAGUCCAAUUAUGUAAACUUUACUAUAAUAGAUAGAUAUGAAUUUUUUAUUUGAUAUAUAUGAAAAUUGCCUGUUAAACUACCCUUACUUCUUCUAUAAGAUAGAAUCAAUUACAUUUUUUCCAUUAACUAUUAAUAUGGCUAUUGGAAUGUGAACAAUUCAUAAUAUUAGCUAUACAUUUUUUUCCAUUUCAGCUAUUAGUAUGACUUUUUAAAUGUGAACAAUUCACAAUAUUAGCUAUUCCUAUAGCUUGUGUAUAUUUUUUUCUAACUUAAUAUUAUGUGCAUAAUAGGCAAAAUAAUAAAAUUGAUUUCUUUAUCACAGGGUAAAAUAAAAAAUGACUAAUAUGUUUUUUUAUAAUUUGUAUACUUUACAUAUCUCAAGGGACAACUUUCCAUCUUUUCUAAGAUAAAAUAAUAAUCCAAAACGUGCUUUCAAUAAAAUUUCAAUAAGAAAUUUGGGUAAAAAUAUCAUUCAUAUCUUGAACUUAUAAAGAAUUGACUCUCGAAGGUUAUAUGAAAAGUGAAGUAAUUAAACUUUAGGAAAUUUCAAAAUUUUAAAAAGACAUUAAAUUUCAAAAUUUGAAAAAAUAAUUCAUUUUUUAAAAUUUAACUAACAUCUGGUAAUGUUAAUGUUAAUCUUAAUUAAUGUAAGAAGUGGAAAUCUUAUAAUUUGGGUUGUUGCAAAAAGAACCAAUUUAAUGAUAUGAUCAGAAAAGCAUCUCAGAUUAUAUUUCCCCAUGAUUUUCUUCAUUUAGCAAUCAAAGUGCAAGGAUAACGAAUUGGAUUAUUCAUCAUUGAUGCAUUUCUGGGUAGCAAAGAAAUUAUACAUAUUAAAAAAGACUGGAUCUCAGUUAGAAAAAUCUUCUUCAAUCCCAUUACUGGAAAUUCUAGAAAGAUAACGCAGUAAUAAUACUAAUCAUCAUAGAUCCAAAACUAAAUGGAAAAUCCAAAGUACCGGAUUUUGUUAAUGCAACAACUAGAAUUAGAGUUUUAAAAGGGGAUCUCAGCUUUAGAGAAGUAAUCUACAUUUCCAAUGUGGAAUCAGAACUCGGAUAAAUUGUUUAUCACAUCCUCGAUCCCAUAACUAAAAAACGCAACGGAAAUGAAGAAUAAGUAUGAACAGUGAUAGAUUGGAUCUCAGAAAAGUGAAAUACCAAAAGAAUUUAUAUAUCCUCAUGUUGAAUAUUUCAGUAUUUUAUGUUUCCUCACAGAUCCAUUGCAAAAUAGAAGAAAAAACACAUAGAAGAAAGAAAUAAGGAACCGAUUGAGCAGAGAGUUUAUCAUUUGAAGAAGACGCUGAGAAACCCUAGCGCCGAUGACGAGAAGAUUGGCUGGGUAAAACGCAAUAUUUAUAUAGACUUUGAUGAGAAGCAGUAGAAGCGACGACGGCGUUUAAGGGAAAUUUUGGUAAAUAUUUUACAAACCCUAGCUGCAUAGUUAAAUUGCAGGACAAGUCCUCCUUCAAUCUUUUCCGGCCAUAUUCAACCUUGGACUUCUUAGAAUUAUUUCCGUCUAACUUUGGAUUAGGCUUUUAUAUAAAUGUUAA